rnacentral:lncRNA from 1 species
AGAAAGGAUUGUAUGAGACUGUAAUUCCACGUCAUCCUUAUCCGUUUCCAACGAGAGAAUGACAAAUUAGAUUUUUCUUCUUGAUUUUUAGUAUUUUUAGUUGGAUUUAAAUUUUCUCAGGAGAAAAAGGUUGAAAAUCAAGAGUAAAAAUCUGAUUUGUCAUUCUCUAAUUAGAAAGGGAUAAGGAUGACGUGAAACCACAAUUUCAUAUCAUCUCUUUUCUAGAUUAAUAAUAUUGUAGAAGUGAAGGAUUAAGCUCAAGUUGAGGAAUAAUUAUCGGAUGCCGAACUUCCCAAGAUGGUCUAAGUUGAAAUAAUUUACUGUGAGUGGACUUUGGUAAAAAAAAAUAUGGUUUGUACAGCUAUGAUUAAGCCCCUGUGAACUAAAAUUUAUUCCUUAGAGCUUUCAAACUUUUUAACUGUUGAACUAAUGCUGACAGGGACAUAAAUGGAACUUUAUGGUCCUCAUACAUGAUUCUCCUCUUCUUCUUCUUCUUUUUCUCCCUUUUUUUUAACCUUAUUAUCUCUCAAAGAGACUAUUUUUUUAUUCUUCCUCAUAGAAAACCUCUUCAUCUCAUUCAUCUCCUCUUUUCUUUUGUGAUUUUUAAGCAAAACCCAGAAAUGGCAACAAGCAAAGCUGAAGGGAAAAGGAGACUGAAGGAAAUGGCGGAGGAGGAAGAAGAAGAAGAAGAGGACGAGGAUAAUAGUACUACUGGUGACGAUGACAAGAAGAAAAAAGGCAAAAGAGGGUCCAGUACGGUGGUCGGAGGCUCCUGUCUUCCCGCCUGUCAGGUCGAGAACUGCACUGCCGACAUGACCGAUGCCAAACGGUACCAUCGGCGACAUAAGGUGUGUGAGUUCCAUGCCAAGGCUCCUGUGGUUCGAGUUGCUGGGAUCCAUCAACGCUUUUGUCAACAAUGUAGCAGGUUUCAAACAAAACCCUAAUUCUUUAACCGCUGUUAUAGACUUUUAACGGUUUAACCUAACAAUUUCAUCACUUUAACUGUGAUUAUGUCUGCUUUUAAUUUCUAUUUCUAACCAAACAUUUUAGUUCUAUUUUUAUAUCUUGAUGUCUGAAUCCAUGAUUUUUUGCAAUUUUUCUUAUCUUAAUUACAUGUCUCCUUCAUUUCACUUAUAAAUCAUUGAUCUAAAUUUGUGAUUAUUUAUAGAUAUUCAUGAAUUAUUAGACUUCUUAAAAGCAUAUAGGCAAUAAUACCUCACAAUCAAUCCUAUCAAAUUCUCAUUUAUGCAUUUUUUUUUUAAAAUUUAAACAAAGUUUUUUCAAAUUAAAAGUUAGGAAAAUCCUUUUAAAAAUAAAUAAAUUUUGUAUUAUAUAUAUGGUGAAAGCUACAGUAUCAUUGACAAAGGUUGUACAAAAGAAGCCCACUUUUAUUUUCAUAAUAUAUAUAUACAUUAACAGCAGUAUACCCUUAGACUAGAUAGAUUCAAUAAGCAUUGAUAUUAUCAUUAUUUAUUAUAUAAAAUAAUUUAUUUUCUAGGAAAUUACAUUUCAUUUUCUUUUAAAGAGGUUCAUUCUCAUAUAUAGCAUUCAAACUGGUGAUGCUAAUGCAGGUUCCAUGAGUUAUCAGAGUUUGAUGAAACAAAAAGGAGCUGUCGACGGCGUUUGGCCGGACACAACGAGCGCCGUCGGAAAAGUUCAUCGGAAUAUCAUGGAGAAGGCUCAAAUUAUUAAAACUAGCUAAGAAGGCAAGCCUAUAUAUAUAUAUGCAAAAAAGAGUCAAUUCAGUCUUGAAUUUAAUAUGAUCCUAUGUAUGGGAAUGGACUUUCCCAAAUGAUCAUGUAACUAUAUGGAAUUUACUAAUUUAACCAUGCUCUCUCUCUUCUGUCAAUCUUAAUUUUACCCCUAUAAUAAUGUCACCCUUUUUCAUGCUUGCUCUACUAUUAUAUCCUUUAUGUAUGUAAUGCCUUCAUAUAUGCUUCUUAAUUUGUGGGUUUCUUUUGGUUGGUUUAAUGUUUCUAUUGUAUGCUUUUGUUUCCUUACAUGCAUUGUGUGAUUCAUAUUCUUUUUCAUGAAAAAAACAAUAACAUUUAGGGCUAAUUUUUUAUCGCGGUGAUAUAUUAUUUAGUAUUUGAGUUUAGUUUUAAUAUUCAAUUUGGUACCUGAAAUUUUGCUAUCCCAAUUUGGUGCUGAAGUUUGGUUUCAAUGCUCACUUCAGUGCCAGAGUUUUCUUUUUUUGGUCUUAGAUAAGAAUAUGAAUGUGGCUUCGAUGCUCAAUUUGUAUCUUAAAUAUCUAUGUUGUUUAUUUUACUAGAGCACACGUGUCAAAUAUUUUUUGGACCAAAUGAUGCCAUUUGAUCUGAGUAUCAAAUUGAGCAUAAAAACCAAAUUCAAGAACCAAAUUAGAACAAAAACAAACCCAAAUAUCAAAUUGAGUACUGAUACCAAACUCAGAUUGCUAAAUAAUAUAUUAACCCAUUUUUAUUCAGAUUGUCAACAAGUGAAUAUAAAAAAAAAAGAGGCUAAAAAUGCCUCAAAAGACUUUCUUUCUUUGUUUGAGAUCUUCUAAUAAUUACAUUGAGCUCCGAUUAAACUUAAAAUCGAACUGGAUCAAACCUAAACAAGAAGUAAACUUUCUUCAUUAUUAAUUUUUUCUUACACGAAAUCAGAAUCUAAAACUUUACUUAAAACAAUUCAUCCUUAAACAGGAAAAAGAGAAAACAACCAAAUUAAUUUCCGACAGGGAAGGGGUGCCUUUUUAUGUGUCAUAAUCAAAAGUCGCAUUAAAUUUUUUUCACAUGAACAACAUGUACUCUAGCUUGCGCCGUUGGUGAGAGGUAACUGCUGUUUUUUCAUAUGUCAAAUAGAGAAACAGUUAAAAAAAGAGGAGUUGACAGUUGGAAUUUUCUAACAUGUUAGUGUCUUAAAAACCACCUAAACAAGCUUCUUUUUUUUUUUUUUUUGAAAUUAUGGGUCUCUCUCAUAAAUCUUCAACUUUUAUCUCGAAUCUAUCAUGGAGAAUAAUGAGAGCAUAAAACAGUAGCAUUACGUACCGACCAUCGUUUUCCUUUUGCUUUGCCCAUUGGAAUAUCGAAGGCUGUUUAAUACUACAGCGAAAGCGUUUGUUGUUUUGUUCUUGUUGCUUUGCAUCAUAUACCAAAUUUGAACGGUUGGUCGACAGAAUUGUGUUCAAUAUCGUCCUUUGGUUACAGUCCCUUUUUGAUUCUGAGUCGAGUUAUAAAUUGGAAGAGGAGAAAUUACGAUUUGAAUUCCGGUAAUUUUUAAAAUAUUUUAAUUAAAUUAUCAAAAUAUCAAUAUUAUAUUAAUCAGCGGCUUAGAUAUUAAAUGUUAGUUGAAAUCAGAUUCAGCAGCUUUUGAUGAAGGUUGGGAAUUAGCUUCUACGGCAUGUGCCUAGAGAUAGCGAUAAGAACACAGGUUGCAUAGUUAAAAUGACUUUUGAUGGAGAAUAUAGCUUGAUUUAUAUGAAAAAACCUCUAGUGUAAUUAGCUUAUUUUUAUUCACCAAAAAUUUAAACAUAUACAUUCAUUGCAUGGACAAGUUUAGGUAGAAAACAAUAGAUUUAAGUUAUCUAUAUGGUAGGUGUCAUAGGUUGCGCAUUCUAAUCUCAGGACAGUAGGUAUAAACACACUUAAGAUUUGAUCAAUGUAUUUUAAUUAUACUCCUCAUCAUGUCUGAAUUAGAGUUUAAUGUCCAACCUGACAAUUAGGCUAAUAGAAAAUUGAGUGAUACGAUAUAAAAAUUUUGAAAACUCAUUUACAAUAUUUUUAUGAUCAAUUUAAGAUUUAAAUAUAGUUUGUUAACAUCUUGUGCAAUUAACCCUAGCUUCAAUAAUACUAACAAGAACCGAGAAAAUUGAUAAACACCGAUUAGGUUGCUUCAUAUAAUUAAAAUUGCCACUAGACCAGAUGGAUGGUACAAUACCCACCCAUUAAAACAUAUAGUAUUUGCUUACACAAAUUAUUUUUCGACUGUGACAGAUACCCUUCGUCAAAUCUCUGAAUAAUCUUAACAAAUAUCAUUCUAUCUAAAAUUAGGUCGUCAAGUUUAAUUUUUUCGAUAAGAUUAUCAUGACUCACUAUUAAUAAAUAUUACUAUCUUAUCACAUCAAGUCACAUAAUUAAUAAUUCAUUAAUCAAAAGGACUCGCGAUAGCUUAUGAAUGUCUCCCUUAAAUACAUCAUCAAAAAUUCCAUGACAAGGGACACGAAUGAGAUCAUCAACUCUCUACAAUCUCCUCGUCAGUUAUGACUCUCGAUCCACCAAGUGAACUGCCUCGACCCUUCAACUUCCAAUUAUAUCUUUGUAUGAAUUCAACACCCAGAGAUUAUUAGGAUUUCCAGGGUUUUAUGAUGAAAACAUAAUAAACAUUAGAAGCAUCCUGUGAUUAUUGAUAUAAUUGCAGCUGCAUUAUAAGCAUGAAAGGCUGUAGCCACGUGUCAUGCGUUUAGAGUGUGGCCCGUGGUUCCCAAUCCCACUCAUGUCUCUCGGUUGAUAAUGCAUGUGUUCCAAAAUCUGAUGAAUUGACUAAAGUUUAUUUUGAUUUUCUAUUUUGGAAAAUAAAGUUGGAGCAAAUAAGCCCAAGGUUCCUUUUCUUUCAUAGAUGAAUCGAGUAUGUGGACUAUAAGGAUUUGGAUAUCGAAUAUGAAGAUUUAAUAUAUUAUCAUUUCUUUUUGUCGGUUAAGUCUUAAUUCGAUUGAUAUAGGCAUUGUUAUCAAUGCAGGAGGAUGUGAGUUCAAAUGUAUUGAAACGCAUUAUCCUUUUAUUUAUGGGUUAAGGAGGAACCAUGAAUAGUUCUAGGUAUUGUGUCGAAAAAAGAACAAAUAUGAUCAGAACCUGUAAAUUUAAAAAGAUCAAUAUGAUAUACAAAGAGUAAAUAUAUUUGUUCAAAUCUAUAAUGAGUAUUUUAAAAAAUAUCAAUAUGAUAUAUGAAGAGUAAAUAUAUAUAUAUAUAGCUCAUAAACUCAGCAAAAACUUAAAAGUGAAAGUGGAAGAUUACAAGUUACAAUUAAGGGAUAAAUAACAAUGGAAUUACAUUUUCUUUUAAUUUGUAAUGCACAAAAACAAAAUUACAAACAAAAUAUAAAUAUAAAAAAUACAAAUUUAGUUUUGGGGUUUAAAUUUAAUUUAUUUGAUGUAUAAAUGCAUGCAAAUAUAUGUUCAACAUAUUUUUAUAAUUAUUUUCUUUAUUGAAAAUUUUUAUAAUUGUCUUCAUUUACAUACAACGAUGAUUAAAGCUUUAUUAUCGUAUGACAUGAGGUCAAAUCUUAUCAUUUUAAUAUUGUAUAAAAAAACAUAUUUUUUGUAUUUUUCGGAUCAAAAUACAUUAUAUCAUUCUAAAAUUAAUUUUAAAAUAUUUAAAAUUAAAAUCUUAAUAAUAGCGAAAGAAAAUCAACCUUUAAUUUUAUUUAAGAGAUAAAUCUCAAAAACUAUACACAAGGGACAUAGCUAGAGGGGCAAGUAGUGGCCUUGGUCCCCCUAACUAAGGGUUAUAAUUUCUCUUUUAGUCCCUUUUAGUUAUAAAGUAUUCAAUUUAAGUCAUUUUUGAACAAAAUUUUUAACUUUGACCCCCAAAGUUCUAAAAUUUUGUCCCCCAAUAAUGAAUUGCUGGCUUUGCCCUAGUACAUGAAUUUUGAUUUUAAUUCAAGUGUAUAUAUUUAAAGAAAUAAAUACAUCACUUUAUUUUUAUACUAGAUAAAUAAAAUUAUUUUCAUAUAUAAUAUGUAAAUAUAAAAUAAUGUUUUAUCGAUAAUUAUGUUAAUAAUUUAUAAAAAAUUAAAUCAAAUCAAAAUUUUAAAUAUAAAAUUAUAAUUCAUGUAUAACAUUAUAUUUAACCUAAAUUCAUAUAUGAAUUUUAUUCCUUUAUUUAAUAAUUGAUGCAUAUUUAGGACCAAUUUAAUCUCAAUAAGAUUUCAAUUGUGUCUUCCAAUCCAAAAUGAUUGGGCCACUGAAGAGAAAGAAGCGUACAAGGUCUGCUGGAUGAAAUUUUUGUAUGUUCCUUUGACCCAACCUUCAAUAUAUAUAUUAAUGGGAACACUUAAAAUUUGCAUUUCUUUAUUACUGAGUCUAACCAUUUAAACCCCUUGCAAAUAGUGAAUUGAUGAGGGAGUGGCUUUUUCUCUCGAUUUUGAGAAUAAUCUAAAGGAAUUCACGGAAUUUAGGGGCUUUUCUUAGAAUUGAGAGAUAAAAAUCCGAACAUAAACACUUCAAGAACAAUACCUCUAUUGAGGGUCUGAAACUAACUUAGAGAGCGACCUCUCCAUGAAUAAACAAAAAUUUGUCUCAGCCAGCCUGCAAGCUCAUGCAAAUGAGUGCAAAGAAUUGUUUCCAUAUCAAAUAACAUCAAAACAGAAGCAUUUAGAAUUCGUUAUCAUAAUAAAUAAAAAAAUAAAAUGGGCAUAUUUGUUUCAUUAUUUUACUUCCCCCUGUUUCAUUGGUAAAUCCACCAAACAAAUAAACCAAAACAAAGGCAUUGGUCCAAAAUAUCCCAAAGGAACCUUAUGUUAUAUAACCUUCGGGACUAAGAACCCAAAUCAACAACAAAAUCAAUGGGAACCCACAAGCAAAACAGGAUCUCCAUGGAUGUUGCAGCUGAUAAUACUUCACUUGAUUCACUCUCAUUUGCUGGCCUCGUAUGCAUUCAAGAUCAACAAUCCAAGCCUCCUCCCCAUACAGCCUAUCACAGCAAUAAAGAUGACCAAGAGUUCGAGUUCAUUUCCGGUACGAAUCCUCUCGGCAGUAGCAAAGUGUCGAUUGAAAACCAUGCCACCGAUCACGAAAGAUCAGUUUCUCGUGAACCGAAUCAAGGUAAAAAGGAGCAGAGUGCGUCUAGGUCAUGGUUUGGGCAGAAAUUGCUUCUAUCAUUCGUUUCCCCAUGCAGGGAAUGUCAUGCUGUGAGGCCGACUACGAAACCACAUACAGGGCCACAAGAAAGUAGCAUCAAGUUACUUUAACUUCGAGCCUACUGUUUCUUUUCUGUUUGGUCCUUUCAGAAUUGAAUCAAUUUAGAGUUAGUGUAGUUGAAUAAAAGUUACAUAGAGAGACCUUAUAUACUACAUCACUGUUGAUUCACUGUUUGGGUUAAAUUCAGCAAUAUAACGGCAGUUGGUUUUUAGCACCAUUAUAUAAUUAUCACUGCUCAUUUAUAUAUGAUUCAUCAUCAGCCAUGAAUGGUGAUUAAACUUGUGCUAAUGGGGUGAAGCUUGACCAAUAGAUAUUAGAUAGUAGAUACUCUGAAUUUUUCAACUUCAACAAUAGUUAACCUCAAGAAUGACAACGGUUCAGUUGAAAUCAGUUUUGAAAUAAUUCAGUGAGAAAACCUAGAGGUGAUUAAAGUUUUGUCCAUGAAAAAGUCGACAGACUCAGGUGUUAUCUUGCUCAGAAGGAUUCAACGAAUUUUGAAUUUUGAAGGAUAGUGAGCGAUCAGAUACAUACCCAAAAAUUGCAAUUUAAUUGUGGAUCAACUGGUAAAGAUUAACCUUACAUGGCAGGCAAGCUUAUAGAUUUUUGAAUUGUCUCCUAAGACUGUGUCUAUGGCUCUUCAACAAGACAAAGCAUUUAGCAUUUUUUAGCAUUUGAUUUGAUGCAACUUUGUUUUAAUUUUCACCAAAAAAAAAACUCAAAAUAGCAAAUCAAAUAUAAAAGAUAUUGAUGAAAAAAAUAUGAGUCAAUAAUUAAUAACGAUUCACCUGAAGACUAAGAGAUAGAAAUAAUCUUUUAAGAGAUGAGAGAGAAGAGCUCUCAUGAUUUCUCUAAUAUCGAGAGAAAGAAUAAGGAAACUUUUAAGUCAUAACUCAUAAAGGGAAAAUUUAUAUAACCCACAAGUUUCAUGUGACAAAUAUGAGGUAUAUAAGGUUAUGUAUAGAUGGUGUAUAGUCCACGUGUUUGUAGUCAUUCAACACUUUGAUGAUCAUAUUUGAAGUUUAACAAAUAAAAUAACAACAAACAAAAAUGAAUUUAAUUUAUUCAAAUAAGUUGGAUUAAAUAAUUUUUAUAUAAUUUUUUUUCAAUAAUUCAAAUAUAAAAUUGACUAUAAAUUAAAUAAAAACAUAAUUGACUCCAUGUGAAUAAAAUUUUAACAUAAAUAAAAUCAAAAUCAAAUUGAUAUUUUGCCUCUCAACCCUAGCCAGCCUUGCUUUGCAGCAAUGGUCUUGGGCUAAUUUCUUUUAAGAAAAGCCGACUUUGUGAAUGUUAAAAAUAUGAUCCUUAUCUCUUGCGGUAUAAAGAAUCUAAUUCAUAUAAAGAAGGUUAAAAUAUGCUUUUGGUUCCUGUAUUUUUUUAUAUAUUUAUAAUUUAGUCCACUAUUUUUAUUUUAGAAGAUUUAAUUUUUUUUAAAAAUCUAAGUCCAAUUAUAAGUAUUAUUAAAAUUCUUUUAUUAGAAUCAAGUUUUUUACAACAUCAUUUUUUUAUUACACGAUUACCAAAAAUGAGUUAUUUUCUAAUUUUAAAAUGUCAUAAUAACAAAUUUAAUCGAAGAAUUUUAAUUAUAUUAACAAUUGAAUCCUAAAAUUCAAAUUAUUAUAAAAAAUAGUUGAUAAUACGAUUAUUAGUAAUAAUAAUAAUAAAAUAUACAUCAUAUACAAUUUUAUCUAAUUAGUCUAGUGCAUAUGUGUUAGAUUAUUCUCUCUUUAAUAUUUAACACUUGCUCUUUAUUAUCAUAUGUUGGUUAUUGACCGAGUUCAUCAUCUGAAUUUGAAUCUGCAUCAUCAAAAUUAUCAAUAUCUCAUUCUUCCAUGUACUUUUCGAAGUAUGAAUCAUCUCAAUUCCAUAUAUGAUUUAAGUUAUGAAAUAUGCAACAUGUCAGUACGAUCCAACGUUGUUCAUUUUUUUGUUAUACUGAGGUGAUGUUGUUAAUAUAAAAAAUAAUUUUUUUAGAAUAACAAAUCUCUUCUCAACCACAUUUUCGAAAUAUUAAAUGUUUCAAAUUAAAGAGUUAGCGAGUUGUCUAUGGUGAUUGUGUUUGACACCAUUCUCUCAAAUGGUAUCGUACCCCACGAUAUGGUGUAAGAAAACUUUUUGUAUUUAUAUCAUUAACAUCAACCUUAAAAUAUUUGGGUUUACGGUCCAAAGAGUCUUUAGCUUUAAUUAUAAAAACAUAUAUAAAUUUAAUUUGAAAAAAAGACUUAUGCUAGGUUAUAUUCCAUUUUUAUAAUACAUAAAUUAAAUAAAAAAUAAUAUCAAAAUUUUAAUAUAUAACAUUUAUAAAAAAAAUUAUAAAUUGUUCCAAUAACUUUCAUAAUACUUCUUAUUAAUAAUAUAAUUUUUUUUGCCAUAACUUUAUAAAACUAUUUUUUUAUAAAUAAGUUAUCAUAAAAAAAAACUAUAACAUUUUUAUAAUGUAUAGCAUGGACACAUAAAUAAAUUAUGUCCAUACUUCUUGUCCAUAAACUUUUAUAAAUAUAUUAUAACACUUUUAUAAUAUGUAAAUUAAUUUUUUAUAAUAAAUUUUUUAGUCAUAAAUUUAGAAUUUUUUAGAAUUUAAAUAAUAUAAAUUUUUUUGUUAUAUUUUUAUAAAAAAACAUAUUUUUUUAAUAAUAUAAUUUUUUAGGACUUGUAUAUAAGUAAUUAUUUGUCAUAAUCAUCCCAAACACUCAUUCAUAUUCAUGUUUAUAAUAUAAUUUUUAUAACAUGUGUAAAAAUAAUUUUUUGUAAUUGACUUUAAGUGUAAUUACCGAGAAAUUAUUUUAUAAACUAUUCCACCACAUCAUCUAUGGUCCCUUCCAAUAAUUCAAUGAUAUUUCAAUAAUUUUUUCCAUGUCAUUAGCACAUAAAUUUUGUAAUUUUUUACUCUGAACCCCGGACCAGAACCUUAAACCCCGAACCCAGAUUCUUAAACCCUAAAUAAUCAGCCUGAACCUUGAAUCCUAAACCUCAAACUCUUAACCUCGAACCCUAAACCAGAACUUGAACUCCAAACCCGAACUCGAGCCCGGAGUUUCAAGUUCGGGGUUCAGUGUAAAAAAUUACUAAAAUUAUGUGUCAAUAACAUGAAAAAAUUUGUUGAAAUGUCAUUAAAAAUUGGAAAUGAACUAUAUAGAUGAUGUGGUGGGAAGGGUCAUAUAAUAAUUUCUCGUAAUUACCUGUAUUAUUACUUCAAUUCUCACUCUUCCCUAAAAAUUAAAAAUAUAUAAUUACAGAUAAAUACACCGAAAUUUAAUUACCAAUUUACUUUUGAAACACGAUUUUAAUGUUAAAUCGUAAUUUAAUUACAACAUGCAGAUGCAACCCUGUCAUUGUUACGUCGACACAUGUGUUACAAAUUUACAAUACACCCCCCCCAACCUAUCUUUUCGAAAUACACAAAAUAAUUUAUUUUUAAAGUCAAUUAAAUAAAAAAUCCAUUAAAUUCCAUUCCAUCUAAAGAAAUAUCGGCCAUAGAUACGGAUCGUAUAUUUAUUUAUUUAUUUAUUUAUUAGAAAUUAUUUUAUCUUAGUAAUGUUUUGAGUUUUUCUUUUCUUUUCUUUCGGGAGGGAAUGUUUACUUCUUUUACUUAUAAUAAUAGUAUAAUACCUUAGACUAAAAAAAUAAGGAUUAAAUUGAUAAAAGAUAUAAAUAUUUAUAUUUAUCUAAAUUAGGGUUCAUGCUUAUUUAUUUACAUUUUAUUUUGUGAGAGUGUGACUCGCAUUUAUCGGAAAGUUUGCAUGCACUUAAGACAACAAUCAACGAACAGUCGAAGAAAGGCCAAAAUAAGCCCAACGUCGUAACGAGUAGGUAGGGCUUGUCGGGACAACACAAUGUAAACCCCAGGCAAAUGCGGCAUCGAUGUUGUGAUGAGGAGAGCUGGUAUGUCACGACGUCACAACGUAUUCUCCUAUUUGACAAUCGCGUUUUAGGCUUCAAGCAGGACUGCUUCUCCCAGUUUUAUUCUGAUUAUUCUAGAGAUAUUUUAGUAUAAUUAGAACUCUAAUGGCCAUUGUAUUAUUGUUUUCACAUGCCAAUUAGCAAAAGUUUUUCUUUUGGGAGCAACAAGAUGUAGUCGCAAAUAAGUUUUUGGUGAGAGAUUCGUGGUAACUAUGGAGAGAAUUUUGUUCCCGAGUUAGGGUUUUAUUUUCGGGGUUGGGUAAUCUACGUUUAGCACAUUUAGGUUUAUUUUCUCUAUAUUUUACUAUCGUUUGUUUACUCAUUUAAUAAAAAGUUGAAACCUCUUUUACCUGCAGUUUUUAUCCUCUUCAGAGGAGUCUUUCACGUAAAUAUCUAUGUGUUUGAUUUUUUUUUAUUUUACUCGUUUUUUUACUUAUACGAGUAGAUCCCAACAUAUUUCAAUCCAAUAAUUAUUAUAAUUAACUUUAACAAUUAAACAUCAUAAAUGCUAUGGUAGGUUAACUUUAACACACAUUGAAUUGCAUUAUUUCAACAUUAACUAAUUUCGUUGAAGAAGGGUCCUUUGGGUGAGAAAUUUAAAAGCUUGUCCAUUUUCCCAGCCAACAAAAUAUCGAUAAUAAUUGCUCUAUAUAUAUAAUUAAUCAAAAUAAUAUAUAAGGCUAGUCAAAAUAUUAGGUAGAGUUAGUAGUCAACGGCUACAUAAUUUUUAAGAAUUUAAUUUUGCUAUUAUAAACUUUUCAUACAUUGUUAAUAAGUAACAUCAUGCAAUUAUUUUAAUUUCAUUUUUAAAAUUGAAAAAAAAUAGGAGGGCCAAAGCUAAACAUUUUGUGUUAAAAUGACUUAAAUUGAUAGAUUAAUUUCUUCAAGGGGUCGAAAAAUAUAAAUUUCCCAAACAAUUAUACUAAUCAAUUAAGGGGCCAAGACCUUGGUCUAGAAGAUAGCGUUUGGCAUGGGAAUCAAAUUAAACAUUGAAAAAGGAGAUUAGAUACUAAAUUGAAAAAAACUUAAAAUACAAAAUUAAACAUUGAAAUUAAACCAGAUACAAAAUAGUAAAUUAACCAAAAGGAAAAAAGAAAUCAUAACUUGACCCCAUUUCUAAGUUGCUUUGUCGAUAAAGGCAUUACUGUGGCACAUAACACUCCGCGGAUUGCGCACCAAAUCGUGCCCAAUUGAAAGUCAAAAGUCAACAAAGCAACUCCUCUCUCUGACCAUCAUACCAUUACCCUCAACCGUCCGAUCAAAAAGUCAAACAAACAUCAUAAGGUCAUUUAAGUAAAUUCAACAAAAAUUUCGUUUCCUCCCUCCUUUUUCAGUUCUACUCGUCAGUAGUCACGUGCCUUUCAUCGACGAGUUUGUUUCACAUAUACAUAUAUCACGUGGCAUUAUAGUAAAUCAACUAAAAACUUCCCCUUUCUUUUUCUUUUUCACAUCACCAGUCCACCACCAGGCCCCGCCACUAAAUCUCCACCGCCCCACCAUUUCGUAACCCACUUCCAUCACCGUCUGAUUAGACGGGUCCAUUAACAUUGAUGAAACUCACCUGUCGCUGAUUAUCUCCAACUCUAUUUGGUCAACUUAAUGAAGAAAAUUUUUAAAUUCUCAACAGGUUUUGCUGCAAUCACGUCCCCAGCAUAAACACACACAUACGCUCUUUCUCUCUAAAAAAGCAAUAAAUAAUAAUAAUAAAAGAUAAAAAAGAGAAUGUGAGAAAAUGAUGAGACCAUUGCCAAAAAAGAGAGAGAGAGAGCAAAAGAAACCACAGAGGAAGUGAAUCGAAGGCUUAAACUUAAGCUUAAAAGAUGCUGAGAUUUACUCUAUUAUGGCUUCUCGUUUUCUUUUUAUCUCUCGUUUCAUCUUCAGCUCGGCCCGGUUAGCUUCUGUUACUGCAUUUUUUUUAAAAUAACAUGUUUAAUUUUGUUAUCUGUGUUAUUUUUAGUUCAUUAGAGGUUCGGUUGGAUAUGUUUGAUGUGUGAAUUACAUUUGUUUUUAUUAAGCUUCUUGUAAACGAGUCUUGAUUUUUUAUAAUUCAGUUUACGAUUCGUUUUUUCUCUUCGGUGAUUUGGUAGAUUGGCUGGUUUUUGGAAUGUGAAUUUAGAGUUUUGUGUUGAUUUUUAGUGAGUUGUGAGAAUUACAUUUAUUUUGAUUAAGCUUCUUAUAAACGAGGCUUGUUUUUUUAUAAUUCAGUUUACGAUUCGUUUUUUCGCUUUGGUGAUUUGGUAGAUUGGCUGGUUUUUGGAAUGUGAAUUUAGUGUUUUGUGUUGAUUUUCAGUGAGUUGUGAGAAUUAAAUUUAUUUUUUUUAAGCUUCUUAUAAACGAGUCUUGUUUUUUUAUAAUUCAGCUUAGGAUUCAAUUUUUUGCUUUGGUUUGUUUGGUCGAUUGGCUGUUUUUUUAAACGUGAAUUGAGUGUUUCGUGUUGUUGUUCAGUGAGUUGUGAGAUUGAGUCAAAAGGAACGGUAUCGGGGGAUAUGAAUGUGUUUUUUGUGGAAUUAACAGUGUCUGGAUCGAAAAUGUAGGAAAAAUAAUCGAAAGCAAAAUCAUUAAUGUACAUUAAAAAAAAAGAAGAAAAAAUUGCUGUGAAAAGAAAACAAUUCUGCCAUGGCCAGACAGAGGAACAACAUGAAUAUUUUAUGGUUUUCUUGUGGAUACAGUUGUCCGUACCAUGCCACAGGAAUUUCUUCACCGAUUACAUAUUACUAUGUUGGUGAAAUAGAAUUCUAUGUCAAAUCUUUCUAUGGACUUGUGAAAUAAGAAAUCAAAAGAAAAUUAUAAGCAUUACCAUUUCUUGCAACAGUGAGUUGUAGCUUAGAGUUUGUGGAUAAAAGUGUAUUCACUUUUCAUAUUUUAUCUAAUACAUUCUUCUUAUAUGGUUAGUUCUUGGCACUAAAUGGCCAUGUUUUCUUGCUGCAGCACCUUUUGCUAUGCGCAUAAGCUGUGGGGCUCGUCAAAAUGUCCGAACAGCACCAACAUAUGCACUUUGGUAUAAAGAUUUUGGGUAUACAGGUGGAAUUCCAGCUAAUGCAACAACUCCAAGUUUCAUUACUCCUCCGCUAAAAACACUCCGAUAUUUCCCUCUAUCUGAAGGUCCGGAAAAUUGCUACGGGAUUAAUAGAGUACCGAAGGGACACUAUACUCUGAGGAUCUUCUUUGGAUUAAUUAAACAGCCUGAUUUUGACAAUGAACCUCUAUUUGAGAUAUCUGUUGAAGGCACCUUGAUUCAUUCACUGAAGUCAGGCUGGACUAGCCAUGAUGACCAGGUGUUUGCUGAAGCCCUUGUGUUUCUUUUAGAUGGCACAGUAUCUAUUUGUUUCCAUAGCACUGGUCAUGGAGAUCCAGCAAUUAUUUCUAUUGAAAUUCUUCAAGUUGAUGAUAAAGCAUACUAUUCUGGUCCAGAGUGGGGGAAAGGUGUUAUCCUGAAAACAACUUCAAGACUGACUUGUGGCACAUCAAAACCAAGAUUUGAUGAGGAUUAUAGUGGGGAUCAUUGGGGUGGAGAUAGAUAUUGGGAACCCAUCAGAACUUUUGGCCAAAAUGCUGCCGAGCCGAGAUCUACUGAAAAUAGCAUUAAACAAGCUUCAGAUGCACCAAACUUCUAUCCAGAAGCCCUUUAUCAAAGUGCAGUUGUUAGUACUGAUAGCCAGCCAGAUCUAGCUUAUACAAUAGAUGUGGAUCCCAAUAAGAACUACUCCAUAUGGUUACACUUUGCAGAGAUUGAUGCUUUAGUCACAGAUGCUGGGCAAAGGGUGUUUGAUGUUCUGCUUAAUGGUGACACUAUAUUUAAAGAGAUAGAUAUUUUGAAGCUGAGUGGUGACCGGUAUACUGCACUAGUGCUUAAUACAACUGUUGCUGUUAGUGGUAGGACACUGACAAUAACCCUUCACCCUAAAGAAGGCCACCGUGCUAUCAUUAAUGCCAUUGAAAUCUUUCAAGUAAUAGCUGCUGAGUCCAAAACUUCAUCAGCAGAAGGUAAUGCUUUCUUCUAUUAUUUCUGCAGACUGUUUAUGCUGAUGUGUGUGAUUGGUCAUUGGAAAUUGUUUUUUACUGCAAAUGACCAAGGUUCUUCAUGAAAGGUGGUAGAUAUUUACUAACUUGUUGAUAAUUCCUGAUUCUAGUUAGGGCCUUACAGGCAUUGAAGAGAUCACUGGGGCUUCCAAAUCGUUUUGCGUGGAAUGGAGACCCAUGUGUUCCCAAGGAGCAUCCAUGGAGUGGAGCUGAUUGUCAAUUUGAUAAAUCUGGCAGCAAGUGGUUCAUUGAUGGCCUGUACGCUCUUGAGCAUUUUCCUAAUCAUUGAGCUUUAUUAUUUAUUUCUGCUGAGAAUAUCUCUUCUUUUCAGUAUGCUUCUGUUGAUGUCUAUGCUAUGGCCUAUCCAUUGUUCUUGAUAGCUAAAGCUAUUCUUGAACUGUUUUCAGCAUUUGAGUUUGUUUGUGUCAUGUUAAAAAAAUAUGAGAACAUGUGCAUAUGCGAGGAAAUUAUAUUAUCAUGUGAGAAGAAAUUAUAAGUCAAAGCUGCUUCCAUUGAUCUCUUCUCUUCUAUUUGGUUUUACCUAACCCAUUCGGCCCUAAUAUCUGCACUUCAUUCGUUCCUACAUCAUCUCUGCUCUCUGAUUUUCUGAAUGCAGAGGAAGCAUCAAUGAUCAUAUACGCAAAUUAGUUUUUGGAGGGGAAGCAUCAAUUACAUAUAGCAAGUGUUUCCUAGAAUAUAUAUGUAUCCAUUUUAUGAGCCUAAAAUAUAACUGUUUUAAACUUAUAUUUGCAACUUUAUCAUUUAAAGCUUAAUAUACGUUGCCUUCACCAGUUAUAUGGGUUUACCAUAAGUAAUUGUCUUUUAAUUUAUGCAUGACAGUGAUCUUGCCAACCAAGGUCUUAAGGGGUUCUUGCCUGAUGACAUAUCCAAACUAAUUCAUCUACAGAGCUUGUAAGUACAGAUAGUUCUUUUCUAAGUUUCACUGACAGAAAAAUUAUUUUCCCUUGCUUGCUUUCUCGAACUAUCUAAAUGUUUUCGCAUAUUCUUAAUUUUACAAUAAAUGAACCUCCUCUUCAAAUAUGCCUAAUAUCCAUUUCUCUUGUUUAUGUUGAGCUUGGCCUUGAUAGAAACUUGAGUGGAAACACAAUUCACGGGGUCAUUCCACCAUCACUUGGAACCAUAACCAGCUUAGAAUUGCUGUAAGUGUAUCAUGAUUUCUUUUCCUUAUUGAAUAUUCCUUUGAUUGUAAUGAUUUGUGUAUUUUCUGCAUGAACAUGCGAUGUUGGGUUUGAUAUAACCAUCAUAACUAAUGUUUUCUUGAUCAGUAGCACAUCCUUGGAGUUGUUUGUUGCAUUCUUCUUUCAAUAACAAUCACACUUGAAAGGACACUAAACUCUUGAUGCUAGAUAUUGGCAUUCUUUUCUUGAAGGAAACUUUGAGUUUAGAGUCUGAUGUCUAGCUAAGAGAAGCACAUGACUAUUUCACUUUAGAACACAUUUCGCUAGGCUCUAUCAAUGUUAUUCAUAUGAUGUCUGGAUACAAAUUGCAGGGACCUCUCCUACAAUUUCCUCAAUGGAUCAAUUCCUGAAAGCCUAGGGAACUUGACCGCAUUGCGCAGAUUGUAAGAAUUCAUUUGCUUGACCCGGAAUCUGAACAUACGACUGAAGAACCUGAUUGAAAUUGUGAUUGUGCAGGAAUCUUAAUGGCAACUCUUUGUCUGGAAGAGUCCCAGGUGCACUUGGAGGAAGGCUUUUGAAUGGAGCUAGCUUCAAGUAUGUUCUCCCAGAAUUUCGUUAGUAUUUGCCUGAAAUGUUCUUUAUGAGUAUCAAAACUGCCACAUAAUGAUCAUAAGUAAACAAAUUCUUAUACAAGACAAACAAGCACAUGCACUUGCACAUGCUUACUCUAGUUGCUUGCAGUUUUACUGACAAUGCUGGUCUCUGCGGCAUACCCGGAUUACCUACAUGUGGACCCCACCUCUCUGCCGGUGCAAAGGUUGGCAUUGCCUUCGGUGUAUCCCUAUCAUUUUUACUUCUUGUUAUCUGUUCAGUUUGUUAUUGGAAAAGACGGCAGAACAUUCUUCGAGCACAGCAGAUAGCAGGUUAGUACCUUCAUGAUUUAACAACUUAAAAAAUUUAUUUGGUGCUUUUUUCUCUCUUUUCUCUGCAUUGCAUAUUCAUAUUUCAUUGGCUUGUGCAGCAAGAGGUGCUCCAUAUGCAAAAGCAAGAACCCAAUUCUCGCACGAUAUCCAAAUGUCAAGGCACCAUAAUCAUGGCCAUACUCGGACAGCUGCUGAGAAUGGACCAAGCUUGCUAUCGUGAUUAAAAUCAUAGUAAUAAUCCCAACUCUUCUUGUUUGGUUCUGCUAGCACCACAAUCAUUUCUUUAGCUCAUGAUGCUUCUGCCUAAAUCUUCUUUAUUUUGUAAAACUCUCUCCUUAAAAGGCCCCUAUAGAAUCACUUCGAAAAGGUCAGAUACCCCAACAGUCACAAAAAAAAUGCAGCAAAACUGAAGUACAUUAUCUUCUGUGAUGUGUGAAUUUUGGAAGGAAAAUCAUUGUCUACUCGCUCGGGUCGUGGCAAAGUGGGAAAACGGCGAACACCUAAUUCUCAUGUAAGCUUUGUUUUAGUCAGUUUAAAUUCAUUCUAAUUGUUUCUUAGAUAUUUGUUUAGAUUUUCACUUUAGCAAAAUAGCAUAUGUUUAUGUCAAAUAGUCUUGUUUAUAGAUCAAUAUACAAAUAAUAAUAUACAAUUAUAAUUUAAGGUCUUAUUUAUCCUAUAUUUUUUAUGAAAUUUUUCUGCAUCCGAUAAAAGUUUUCAUUAAAUUUGAAUUCAAGUAAUAUUGAAUUCUUAAACGCGAGACAAGUUUUCUAGUGCUGUUUUUUCGUUCAUAUGAUUCGAAUUCAAAAUUUUUAUCAUUCGUCUUGAUAGUAAAGGGUUUAUCUUUAUAGUCGUCUAUUAUUAGGGUAAAGAAAAUUUGAUUUAAUGAUUCCUAAUUAAAUUUGUUCAUGGAUUGAACCAUUCGCUCAAGUUUGAAAGCCUGUUCGAUUGUCUCGUUUAAAAUAUGGUUCGAGUUUGAGCUUGAACAUUUAAAGCUCAGUCUCACCUUGGCUUAUUUUUAUUGUUUGUAAUGUUUUUAUAUUAUAUUAUAUUUAUAUAUUAUAUAAUUUGUAACCUAUGAAAAUUAAAUCUAUAGUUGUAUUAUGACUAAAAAAUGUUAAUAUGACUAAAAUUUUAAUAAAUGAAAAAUAUAUAAAUUUAUUAAAUUUUAAAUUAAUAAUAAUAUAAAUAUAUAGUUUUUAAUUUUUUUAAAAUGAGUUAACUUAAAAUAAGAUUAAGUUUGUUAAUUACAAAUAUGGAUGAGUUUAAGUAAAAUUUUAGUUUCAUAUUUGAAGUAAAGUUAAUGGCAAGCAUAAUGUCUAAUCCAUGGAAAUUUCUAGUUUUAACCCAGCCCAAUUGAUAGAGUCAAGGUUUUUUUUUUUAAUCAAUUUUUCAAUUAGUUGAAUUGGGAUCAGGUAUAGAAAAAAUCUACCCUACUCUAAUAUUAGUUUAAAAUAAUGGAUAUAAAAAAGUGAUGUUACCAUAAAUAUAGCUAAAAAUAACUAAUUGUCUAAUUAAGAAGUAUUAUUAUUAUAUUUUGAUAAAAAAUUAAAAGUAUAAAGGUUGAUCUGUUUCUAUAGUCAUUAUAUUUGUAUUUCUAAGAAUUUAGUGCAUUUGCUUUUUAAAUUUUUAAAUUUUGGUUUACCUUUUUUUUUGUUAAAUUAUUGUCGUGACAUUUUAAAAUAUAAAAAAAUUAAUGUGAUAUUUACGAUCAAUAACAUGAUGACACAUGUAGCGUGUCAAAAUGUAAGGCUACCACGUAUUACAAUGAUACGUUAGCGUAUUUGAACGGUGUUAGUUAAGUGUUUAAAAAAAUAUUAAGUUGACUUAAAGUUUUCAAGUUCAAAUAUAAGAUAGAUCCAAAAUAAAUUCAAGUACUAAAUAAAUAGAAUUUACAAAGUUGAGGUAGUUUUGUAUAUAUUAAUUUUGAGGCAAGUAAUAAUUACGUAUGAAUAGUAAAUUCUAAUUUGUUUUAAUUAUGACGCCAAAUUCUGCAUUGAUUGACAUCAUGCUUCGGUCUAUGUAGGUUAGAGGUCUGACAUUGUGAUUUCCACGCAGCGAAUCCAUAUCCCUAAGUCCAAACAAAUAAGGUAUAUGAAUGUUUUUGUUAAUAAAUACAAAAACCGAUAUUUAUUAAAAUUAAUUAAUAUAUGAUUUAUAAUAAAUUAUAAUUAAAAACCGAACAUGAAUCUGAAAAAUAAUAAAAAAAUUUAUUUACUUGAUAAAUUAUUUUAAAUUUUAGAUAAGCCAUUAGUAAAUUGAAAAAAAUACUCUCUUCUUGAGAGGUGUUGAGGUUCGGUUCUAAAAAAAAGAUAAUGCUCAACUUCAUUUUCGACCCAACUUGAUCGAUUCAAUAAGUUCAUUUCACUAUUAAAAAGAGAAUAAAAUAUUAAAAUAUAUAUUUAUUUAUAUUUUAUAUAUUUCUAAAAUUAAAUUCAUAUUAUGAAUUUGUGAUUAUAUUUUUCAAAAAUACUAAUUUUUUUUAAACUUUUUAAAAUAUUUACAUAUUCGGUAAAUUCAUUAACCAUAAAAUUUAAAACUACUACAUAUCUAAAAUAAGGAUAGAACCCUCAGUGACUUCAUUCUUAUUUAAUAUUGAUGUAGUGUAAUAGCAAGACAAGAAUCAACAGCCCUAAAAACAUACAACAUAAAUAAAUAAAAUAAAAUAAUAAUAAUAAUAACAUCACGUGAGAAGGUGUCAGUAACCUGCAGUGAUUUUCACCCCCCCUACCCCUUUCUUCCUUUCACAGUUUCUCUUCCCAACACUGGACUGCUGCUGCUACCCUUUUUUUCCUGACUCUCAAAACCGAGUCCAACACGCCACUCCACUUCACUCCAGACUCACUCCCUCCCCAACUCAAACUCGGUCCUGUCUCCUGCAACUCAGACACCUCCUUAUGUACCUUCCACGUGGGGUCUCUAUCUCUCUCCUCUGCUAUUCACCCUCCCACUCAACUACCCCACACGUCAUACCCUCUCCUCCUGCUCUCUGAUCCUCUCUCUGCCAUCUCCACCAGUCCCCACUCUUAUAUUAAUCAUCAUCUUUUCUAUUUCUUUUAGGCAUAAUACCUUUUCCCACCGUCCAACUUUAUGAAAAACUCAUUUCAGUCCCAUUUAUUUUUUUCACCUUUAAAUAUAUGUUUUUUAUCAAAUCACUUCAAAAUUUAUAGAAAAAUUAAAUUUCUUUUAAAAUUUUCUGUGGUAAUAUACAUGUAAAUUGCAACAUGGAUAACACGUCAAUAUUUAAUUAAUUUUUCAUUAAAUUUAUUAAAAAAGUAUAAAAAUUUAAAAAUUAAUUAAAUGCUGACAUGUCAAUUCACGUAUAUGCCAUGUCAAUACAGUUAACAAACGUAGAUUUUUUUAUCCAUUUUAAGGUGAUUUGACAAAAAAUAAAAGUUUAAAGACUAAAAAGAAACUAAAAAAUGAAUAGAGCCCUAAAAUGAUUUUUUUCGUAAAGUUAGAGGGUCAAACACGAUAUUAUGCCUUUCUUUUAUUUAUAGUUUUUAUACUGAAAGAAUAUUAAAUGCAGGCGCCGCUGAAUACCCGUACAGAGGAAAAAGAAUAGGGCAUACGUAAGCACCGGCGCUGAGUUCACUCAGUUGACAGACACACCUCCCCCCUCUGCUCCACACGUCUAAUCAGGCGGCGGCUCUCUCUUUUCUUUAUUUAAAUAUAUUCUUAUUUUAUAAUGGGUUAAUGUCUUGGUUAGUCCUUGAGCUUUCAUCUAAUGGGCAAUGUGAUAUUUAUAUAAAGAAAAGGUCUAAUUUGAUACAAAACUUUAAUUUAAUGAUUGGUGGUGGGAUUUGAUUAAAUUAUUAUUUCUUAUUUUAAGCAAUAAAUAAAAUUUUAAAAAUUAUAUUCAAAAUAUUAUAUCAAUCAUAUAAUGACAUUCAUUUAUACGUCCUUGUGAAGUCAUCAUGAAAUUAGAUGAUAUUAAAGCUUUGGGGUAGGUUGGUACAUAAUAGAAUAGUAAGAUUUCUAAAAUCAGAUUGAUGAUCGAAUCAGUUAGAUUAUCGACUAAUUCAUAAGUCAACCGAUCUAAUUUUUUAAUCACACCGAUGCUCAAAACCAAUUUAAUCCAAUUCAAACAACAUUCCGGAAUAGUAUAGAUACCAAAUUGAAUAUUUUGGUUAUACAAAUACUGGAUUAGAUAUUAAAUUAAAGUUGAGGGGCUAACUAUGGAAUUAGCAUUUAACAUUUAAAUUUGCAGUAAUGGGUACGGGAGAGACCGUAGUGGGUCACUUCUUUUUAACUACAUACAAACGCACACAAAGUCCCCUCCGGUCUCCCUUUUCAUAUCAUAUUUACUUUUUCUUUUUUUUCUUUAUAUUUUCUCUUCCACUAAUACUAAUAACCCCCAAAGCUAAAACCUUUGAGCUUCUCUUUCAUGGCGUCCUCAAGGGAAGGUCACUACAGAGGUGUAAGGAAGAGACCGUGGGGAAGAUACGCAGCUGAAAUACGUGAUCCAUGGAAGAAAACAAGGGUUUGGUUAGGUACAUUCGACACACCCGAAGAAGCUGCACUCGCUUACGACGGAGCAGCUAGGUCCCUCCGUGGUGCCAAAGCUAAAACCAACUUCCCCACACCGUCUUCCUCUUCUUCUCCGCCGCCGGCUCUUUCUCUUGAUCUUAAUCUCGCUUCUCAUAAUCCCCAUCGUUGGGCUUUAGCUUCACCUCAUCACCAUCACCGUUUUGCCGCCGUCGGUGAUUUCCUUCAAGCUGGUGGUAUUAAAGAUAUGAACUUUGGUCCCGACCCAUCGUCUUCGACGAGACCCAAUGUCCUCUCCGUUUCAACUUCCCCUCCGGUGACCGCAAAUGGUAACACGGCGUCGUUUCUUGGGAUUGUUCGACGUGGUUUGCCUAUAGAUUUGAAUGAGCCACCUCCACUGUGGCUGUGAAUGUGGUUUUUCUUCUCUAGGCAUUUUGCAGGCUCCCUUUUUAACCUUUAACCCUUCCUUAGGCAUCUUUGCUACUUCUGUUUAGUAAUUAUUCUGUAUUUUGAGAACUAAGAAUCAUAAUAAAAAAAAACAUAUUAAAAACUGAGGACCCUUUGUGUAAAUAUAUGUUUUUUUCCUUAACUUAUGUAUGAUUUAAAACACUUUAUCAGAUGUUUUUAUCUUCAUUUUUUUAUUUUACUGCAUGAAUAUGAUUUAAUCGUCGAUUUUAAUCUGCUACCCGGGAACCAAACAGAUACAGAUACAGAAUCUCUGUUUCUAAAGCCAUAAAGGAUGCAUCUUUGUUGAGGAAAAAAAGAAAAAGCACAUGCACGCGCAGGUUAGGUGCGAGUGGGGCUUGGACAGUUGGCGAUGGCAGCUAACACUGUGUAAAGUUGGGGGGUGUAUUUAGACGUGGUACAAAAUGCGAACCAAAGCGUGUGGAUUUUGCAUUCCUAUUAUAGCUCGCGUGUUCAGAGAUCUGGUUUACAUUAAAGCAGCAGCUUAUUGUUUAGACCAACUCGCUUCGUCGCGCGUUCUUUCUACUCUCCAGUUCCUAUUAUAUUGCCCCCGGAAAUAUUAGUUUAGUUGAUUUAUUAUUCAUUUGCCAAGUUAUUUUAUAAAACUUUAAAUACAAUUUUAUCAUUGUUCUAGCAAAGGUUAAUUUAUUUUUAGUAUGAUGUCUUUUAACUUUCCUUUUUUCAGUCUUACAUUAUCGUAUCUUACUGCUAUUAUUAUUUUUACACUAAUUUUUACGUUAACUGCAAAUAAAUAUACCUUCUAUUUAGAAUCUUAUACAUGGAUCUGACAACAUUUUCUACCCCUAGAAUAUUGGGUCGUGCUUUAACUUUAGAGUGAGGUACUUCUUACUUAAACCCUAAUUUGCUUUUUCAAAUAAAAAUGGGAUUUAAGAAAAUGAAGGGAAAUUUUGUAGAAAAGGCAAAUGGUGGGGGAUUUUAUGGGAAAAUGUGGUCCAUUUUGUAUCUUGUCCUUGCUUACCUACCUCUUGCAUGCCUCAAAACCUAUGAAAGUUAUCCAUUACGAAUAUAAUAUUUGCUUCUUUUCAUAUGAAUCAAUAAAAGAAAAUAUAAUAACACUGUUGUGUAUGAUAUUAAAGUUUCCUGGUUUAAGUAUUAAUUCUAAUUAAUAGUUUAAGUAUCACAUUGAACAUUUUCAAAAUACGUGUAUUACAUUAUAUAUUUUAUGAAAACAUAGAUUUCAAAUAAUGCACAAAUUGAUCGCAUUAGAUAUUUUCAAAGUAUAUGUAUCAUAUUGGGCAUUUCAUAAAAGUACGAGUACAAAAUGAUUACCUUACAGUACACCCACUAUGUCGGUGACAAAAAAUUAUUGUUUGUGCUCGUAAAGAACCUCAAAAUCAUAUCCAUAUUCGUUUGUUUAAAAUUAUAUAUGCUUGUAUAAUCUCUUGUUUGUAUUAAAUGUACUUGUUUUUAAACAUCAAACAAAUAUGUUCGUGAACAUGACACAAAUAUUGUCACGAACAUAUAAUUGAACAUGACCAUAUUUGUGAACAAAUAUACAUUUAAUCGUGAAUAAUAAGAGAAACAUAAAUAAACAGACAAACAAUAGUAAUAUUAUCAAUACUAUAAUAACCGAACAAUAAACAAGCUUCAAUGAUUUAUUAAAUGAGGUUAUUCAUGAACAUUGGUGAAUUAAAAUGUCAUGUUCUUGUUCAGUUUGGUUAAUAAACAAGUCUCGGAAUCCUGUUCAUGUUCGUUCACUUAAUUUUACAAACGAAUGCAAAUGAACAAAAAUCAUCCAACACCGUAUUCGCUUACAACCUUAAUAUAUUCUAGUAUUACUAACAAUGAUACAAGUCUGAUAUAAAAAGCACAAAUUUGAAGUAGAUUGAUAAGCCAAAAUCAAAAGCCAAAUAGGGUUAAAACAUAGUGGCAAAAAUGUUAAAAGCAAUGUACCAUACUAUUAUUGCACUAUGCUUUUUAAAGGAUCAUGCGGAAUGGAAAGACUUUUGAGUCAAAAUAAAAAAGGCAAAUUGGCAUAUUGAUAGCCUUCCAUUGAAUAGUUUCCACCCAAAAAAAUUCCCAUUGCCAUAUUGGUUGUGUACCCCCCAUGGAUAAAUAAAGGCCAAAAGCAUAAUAAUGUGGUUGAGGCGGCCUAGCUAGCUAGGGAAUACCAACAUUGGAUCGUUUUAACCCCUAAAAUGAUGGCUUAGGGUUUGGCAGAUCAUGGUAGAAACAUUGAAUGGUAUUCAAACCACAUCAUGGGAAGGUUGUCUUGUUGCAACAAAAGAUAAAUUAAUGAGAUGUAUACAUUAAAGAUUGUUUAGGUAAAUCAGUGAAUACAUUUAUAUUUGUAGGGUUUCUUUCAGAGUUGAAAUUUGUUACAAAAGUUGAGUAAUGUUGAUACAUGGUAUCAACAGAAGACGAGAUGGAGGGGGAUGGAGUCCCGGUUCAGAAGAAUCCAAACUCCGAAAUGGAGUAUCUGAGAUUACUUAAAUUAUAGCUAUUUUGGAUCGGUAAUCAAAUUAAAUUCCGAGUCGGAUUAUUAUAUAUUUUAUUGUAAUUAUAUAACAAGUACAAGCAUCAAUUUAAACCCAAUCAAUCUAAAGAUCAUAUUGUAGUUUUAGUCUCGAGUACUUCUAAUGAACUCACUCAGCAGCAUACCUAACAUUUCCUACUUGAUGUCUAUACCUUCAAUAGCAAAUACCUCAUACAAAAAGGAAUAAAUAACAAAAAUUGCAUCAAGCAAAAUAACUCCAAUAGAUUUGCUUUAAUACUCUUAUGUUCAUGGUUUUCAUGGAAAAUUGUAGUCCCUAGUUAAACUGAGUGACAAUUAGUUUUUUGGUACUUUUCAUUUCGGUUUUAAAAAUUCAUAUUUGAGGUUUGUAAUUAUCUUCCUCAUCAAUUUUAUCUUUAAGAUUUGAGCAUACGUCUCCCCUUAAAAUACGUGUCUAACCAAUACAUCGAUCACUUAUUGCUAAAUUUAUGACAAUGAAAUAAUCCCCUUUAUAUAACAAUAUCACCCAUAAAUCAGCUCUAUCUUUAUCCCUAAAAAAAAGAAAAAUCCUACUAAUUAACAAAUCUUCACAUUUCAAAUCAAAUCUAAUCAAAUCUCUAUUGAGUUAAAAAUAUUGACUAGUAAGAUAUGUUCAUAUUAUUGCAAUAUUUGUAACAUUCAUUUAAACAACAAUUUACCCAAGUUCAAUUAUCGUUUUUUUAAAAAAUCACUUUUUUUUAAUUUCUCAAGAUAUCUUCUGUAAACCCAUUAAGGGAUAGGUGCUGAUCACGAGUUUUAAAAUUACUCCAUACCCUCAUUUAAUUAUCAACUCGCACGAGUAAUAUAUUUAUCAUUAUUUUAUUACCUCGAUGGGUUAUAUUUAAAUAAAUUUAACCUAUGAUUCAUAGCAUGUAAUGAAAGCUAAUAGUUUUCUCAUUGACAACUUUUUCUCCUACAUUUUUCAUUAUAUAUAUAUAUUCAUCAACUACAAAUUUAAUGUUAACAAUGUCGUAUUGAUCUCGACCUACCAAUCUUAAAUUAUUUUAUGUUCCAUGCAUAUGAUUACAUUAUUAUCUAACCCAACAAACUUUCUUCAAUCAAUAAUUUUCAAUAUCUCUGAUUUUUUUAGAAAGAUAAAAUUUUCGCCAUUCAAUCAUUGGUUAUCCAUCUUUAGUUAGAUAGGUUAUAAACUAUUGGUUAAAAUAUGUUGUUAGUGCUUAUACUUAUAUAGAAUUUGAGUUUAGUCCCUAUACUUUAAAUGCUAAAAAUCCAAUCUUCCUAUUUAUUUUGAUUUAUAAAUCCUAAUCUAAUCAUUAUCUUCGUUGGCAGUUUUUGUUACAAUUUAUCAACCCAACAUGUUUAUUUCCUGUCAAUCAUAUGUCGUACAUCAUACAAGGUCGACAAAUUAUGACAAAAAAUACUUACAAUUUUAAUGACAGGUUGAGAUUUUUAGAUCAAUAAAGUAGGAGGACUUAAUUUUUGGCUUUUAAAAUGUAGUGACUAAAUCCCAAAUACUAUAAAAUUAGAGCGACUCACAUCAUAUUUUAACCUAAACUAUUCAAUGCAUCUUUAAAAAUAAUAAUUUUAUCAAGGUACAUUUCUUUUUUCAGUAUCACUACAAUAUGAAUUAUAUAUGAUUGUUGACCCUCUAACACGAAAUUAAAAAAUAUUAAUAUAAUAUUCACAAAGAGCACACUAAAAACAUUCUUUAACAAAUAAAUAAUAUAAUCAGUAAAAAUGUAGAGCAUCACUUCAAUACAAAACCAAGUAAAUAAUAAAGAAUUAUUGUCGUCACUAAAGCAAAUUCAAGAAUAAAAAUGCAAAAUUCUUAAUAAAUUAAACUAGAGAGAUUAAAUUCUUAAUUUUGAAAAAGUAGAGGGAUGAAAAUAAAAUUAGACCUAAAACACUAUUGAAACAUGUUUCGUGGUUCUAGUUGUAAAACAACUAAAGGCAAGAGGCUUUGUAGUUUAAGUUUAGGCGGUGGUGACCAUAAAUCAAUUUGAAGAACACAAAAGAUUACAACUUUGAUUGAUAACAUAAUGUAUAAUGUAUGUAGGAGUAGAGGAGGUUCCUUCUCUAAGGUCAACAUAUGCCAAAUUUACAUCUCUUAAUCAAUGUUACUAUCUAUAAAAUUCGAAUCUAAUUUAUAUGCACAAAGCAGAUAAAAGUAUCGUGAAAAUUCGUAUAUUACAGGUUUACGUUUUGCACCCUUUACUUUAAAGCAGACAAAUUAUUCAUUGUAUGUUAAAUCAAAAGGUAAAUUAAAAAUUACAUCUAUUUAUACUGUUAAAAACUAAUAUAACUAACAUAAUAACUAGACAGUGACAUGUACACUUCAUCCUAAUGUAUAUAGACUAAUUUUUAAUGGUAGAAAUGGAUAAAAUUUUUAACACAAGGACUAAUUUACUGUUUAAUCUAACAUACAUGGACUAAUUUAUUCAUUUUUUAAUAGAAGGGACAACAUAUAAUUCGACGCUCUUAAAAUAGUGACCUCUAUAGUGUUAGGAUCGUCCCGAUUAAGCAACGAACAAGUAAAAAUAGUAGAAGAAAUUGAGAAGAUGAACACACAAAUUUAACGUGGAAAAACCCCUCAAAAGAGGAUAAAAAACCACGGGCAAAGAUAAUUUUACUAUAAUGGCAAAAGAAUGAAGAGUACAAAAGAUGGAGAUAAAAACUAAACCUCAAAAACCCGAAAAACAAAGAACCCUCAAACGUAAACACAAAAUUCUCUGAAUGUGUUAUGAGUUCUAAUCUAAUGGGUGUCUCUUUAAUUCUAAGAUUGUAAAGGAGCCUAUUUAUAGGCUAAAUUAGUAAGUCAAAUAAACUAUACUAAUAAAUGCUAAAUAUAUUAUACUAAUAAAUACUAAAUCUUCUAGAAAGAAAAUAUAUUUUUGUUUAACUUGACUUGCAAGCAAUCUCUUAGAAUUUGGGUCACACAAUUCUAACAAUCUCCACCUUAACACAAAUUCUUUCAAUGCCAUCUUUGCCAAAACCCGCCACGGGCCUAUCUUGAACUAUGCAGGGAAUUAACUGAGUCGAAUCUAUGCUUAGAAGCUGGAAGACUUCUAGCCUUCGACUUGUGCACUGCCAAAUCAAAACUAACCCGGGUCUGAUUUUCACGAAUACAGUGCCCUAACUUUUCAAAACCUGCAUCCAAAAGAGAACCUCUCUUCAACGAAACAGUCAUACCUUUUUUCCUCCUAUGACCAAGUUGCCUCCGCUUCAAAUGAGUUGACUUUGACUCCGUAACGGACGAGAGACGUCCGAUUUCACCGGUUACUGUAGAACCUUCCAGAAUAUAAAGACUGCCGGUUCUUUUACCUUUUAACAAAACGAGAGCUCCACGAGAUACUUUAAUGUCGCUCGACUCGAUGUUGAUUCUGCAUCCUUUCAAGUCUAAAAUACUCAAGGAGAUGAGAUUCUUUCGUAAAUCAGGUACAUACCUGACAUCUGAGAGUGUCCUAAUCGUCCCAUCGUGUAUCAUAAUUUUAACAGUACCAAUACUGAUUAUUUUACUAUAUGAAUCGUUUCCCAUGUGCACAACUCCACCUUCAACUGAACUGUAUGUGGAGAACCAUUCUCUAUUAGGACACAUGUGGAAAGAGCAUCCUGAAUCUAGGAUCCACUCAGACGUAAGCUUGGAAUUAUCGCUCGUUGACACUAACAAGAAAUCAUCAUCGCCUUCAUCGACCAAAUUAGCACCAGCUACAUCUUCCUCGUUACUCUCAGCAGCUUUUUUAUUUCGCAGUUUAUAACAAUCUGCUUUGACGUGACCUAACUUUUUACAAUAGCGACACCUUUUGUCUCGUUUCUUUGAUGCUACCAAAACGGAAGCUUGCCUAUCUGCUUUGCUAUUCAAACCAAACUCAUUGUCGAGUUUGUCUCUACUCAACAAAUGACCCUUCACAUCUUCGAACAAGAGUUUGUCUCUGCCAUAAAUCAGGGUUUCCCUGAAAGACUUGUAUGAAUAGGGUAAAGAGCAUAAUAACAGCAUAGCUUGAUCUUCAUCGUCAAUAUGAACCUCAACGUUCUUUAAAUCAUUUAAAAAAGUGAUGAAUUGACUGAUGUGAUCUUUAAGAAGCUCACCUUCGUUCAUGCGAAACGUAAAUAGACGUUGUUUCAACACUAAACGGUUAGCCAGAGACUUAGUCGCAUAAAGAGUUUCUAACCUUUUCCACAAGGUGAAUGAGGUCUUCUCCAUCAAUACCUCCUGCAAUACUGUAUUCGCGAGGCACAACUGGAUUGCAGACAAUGCCUUUUCAUCGAGCUCUUCCCAUUCUGUUUGAUUUAGAUUCUUAGGCUUUUUCCCUGUAACAACCUUUUUCAAGCCAUUUUGAACUAGAAUUGCCAUCAUCCGAACUUGCCACAGGUUGAAAUUUGUCUCACCAUCGAACUUCUCAAUUUCAAACCUUGUUGCUGCCAUCUCUGAAUGGGCUGAUCUAUGAAAGUUAAACUAGCUCUGAUACCACUUGUUAGGAUCGUCCCGAUUAAGCAACGAACAAGUAAAAAUAGUAGAAGAAAUUGAGAAGAUGAACACACAAAUUUAACGUGGAAAAACCCCUCAAAAGAGGAUAAAAAACCACGGGCAAAGAUAAUUUUACUAUAAUGGCAAAAGAAUGAAGAGUACAAAAGAUGGAGAUAAAAACUAAACCCCGAAAACCCGAAAAACAAAGAACCCUCAAACGUAAACACAAAAUUCUCUGAAUGUGUUAUGAGUUCUAAUCUAAUGGGUGUCUCUUUAAUUCUAAGAUUGUAAAGGAGCCUAUUUAUAGGCUAAAUUAGUAAGUCAAAUAAACUAUACUAAUAAAUGCUAAAUAUAUUAUACUAAUAAAUACUAAAUCUUCUAGAAAAAAAAUAUAUUUUUGUUUAACUUGACUUGCAAGAAAUCUCUUAGAAUUUGGGUCACACAAUUCUAACAUAUAGCACUUUUACCACACAAAGCAUUGGAACCUUAAUCACUUAUGCCAAUCCCAUUAGCUUAUUGCUUAUGCAGAAAGACGUGCUACAACAUAUUUUAUUUUCUAUUUAAAGAUUGAAAAGAGAUAGUAAUUUUUUUAGGGAUAUCAAAUUCGAACCCUAAAUCCAUAGCUUAGAAAAAGAAACGAGUAUUGAAAAGGAAAGGGGGAGCUUAGUGAAGGUUUAGAGUUUUAUGGGUUGGUCAGCAUUUUGGGGUUUGGGGCCAUUUUUGUUGGACGGUGGCUUCGCUUUGCUUAUUAAUUUCAUCAUCCAAAAGAAUUAAAAGGAAAAAGAAAAUACAUGAAGUAAUUGUCAAAAACAGAAAUCCCAAUGAACCCACGUCAUACCCAUUUGUUCAAGCAUUGAUAAUGAUUUUGCAACAACUAGGCUUCAUUUCUUCAAAGUUAUCCCCAAACUAUUGCAUGGCUUCUAAAUUAGACCUUCAACUUCAAAACCUUUUAAUUGAAUCAUUGAAGUAUCAGUUCAUACUAAUCAAAUCCUUUUAUCGAUAUGACAAUUAAUUUAGGUGUUAAAUGCCUAUUCAGAUAUGAUAUGGAAUUUUUUAAAGGUAGUGGAUUAAAAGGUAAACACAUGGGUACUUACAAUAUCGAUAACUAUAUCCAAACUAAUCAUUCGAUAAGUAUCCAGUUUCCUAAUAAGUCGUUUUUUUUAAGUAUACAGGCACAAUAACAAUUACGUACAUAUCCAAAUCAAUAAGUGAACUAAUACUAAAAGUCGAACAAUAAUAAUUUUAAAGAGAAGUCACAUGUUAUAGGAAUUAAGUCGUAAUAAAUUAAAAAGCAAUUCACACAUGAUUCACAACAUGGGAGUUGAACUUGACUGCUUGAGGUAUUAAGGUCCUAAAGCCUAAACCUUUGGUAAUAAUGUCAAUACCUUAUUGUCAAACAUCAAAUAUGAGCUACUAUUAAUGUACAAACUAAUGGUUAGGUUGGCGAAAGGACAUGCAUAAUACUUCCAAGGAUUCAUUUAAAUGUAUAAGCUAAUGGUUAGAGCAAAAGUACAUGUUUGAAACUUUUGUUAUCAAUUUAAAAUCUAAGGUCAUAGUUUGGAGAGUAUGAUGCAAUUAACCCAAUUAAAGAAUCAGGUUGAAAGUAAUAGUACUAGUAGUUAAAGUAUGAUUGUAUUUUGCCUGUAAAUUAGUCCAUGUACAUUAGAUCAAAUAAUAAAUUGACCCUUUUAUUAAAAUUUUCAUUAUACUAUUAAAAACUGGUCCUCGUAUGUUAGCAUGAGGUGCACAUGGCAUAUUACAUGUCACUAUUUGGUUAUUCUACUAGCUAUUUCGAUUUUUAACAUUAGAAAUAGAUGAAAUUUUAAUAAAAAUGACUAAUUUGCUCAUUAAUCUAAUGUACAACGACUAGUUUACCAUAUAUUGAGUAAAGAGUCAAAAUGUAAUCCGACACCUACUACAGGGACGUUCAUGGUACGUUUACCUAGUACUAAUAAUCUUUUUUUUUUAAAUUGUAUUUUUCCUUCAAAUUUUCAAAAAAAUCUAAAAAUAUUAUAAAAUAAAAUAAAAAGCAAAUUAUCAAAAGUCACUUUUUUGUCUCAGAUUACAUUUUAAUCACUUCUUUUUAAGAUGUUACGUUUUAGUCACUUAUGUUAUCGCGUUGUAACAUUUUAGUUACUAACUGUUAUUUGUUGUUAACGGUGUAACGGUAAGCUGACAUGGCACAUUAAAUCAUCAUUUCAAAAAAAAAAUUCGGUUAAUUUAUACAAUUGGUCCCUAUAUUUUUUCUUUUGAAGCAAUUUAAUUUUUUUCUUUUAUACUAUUUUAACUUUCAUUUUUUUCUUUUUUUUUCAUUCUCUUCUACGUCUUCCUCUGUUUUCCUCCCUUAUUCAUUUCUUUUAAUGUAGUUUUUCUAUGUUUUUCAUUUGUUAAAACUAGUCUCUACACUUUUAUUUUCUAUUGACAAUAUAUUUUCAUAUGUCUAAUGUCGUGUCAAUUUGCUAGUACUCACGAAAAAUUAUAUUAUUUUAAUUAAUGAAUUUAAUAACUACUGCUUGAGUUAAGAAUAGAAUUUCAAAAUUUUAAGUAAUAAUAAGAAUUGUACACCAUCAAAUUAAAGAAUAAAAACUGAAUCAAUAACAAAACAUAGUGUGGGACUAAUAACAUAAUCUGACCUAAAUGAAUUAAUUGUAUCGUUAUAGGUUAUCGAAGGCAAUCGACUCAUUCGAGAGAAGUCUUUGAAGUAUCGUCUAUUGGGCAAUUGAUCGAACUCCCAACAAUGGUUGUUACUGGGCUUGGGACAACUAUGCUUAGUUUUAGUUACGAGCUUUGUCUCCCAAUUCCAUUAAGUGCCUCGAGUGAGAGCACAAAGCGCAUACAUCAACUAUGGAAAUGUUAGCAUUUGCUAUUGGUGGGGUUUGAACCUAGGUAUUAAUCUUACUGACAAAUACCAUAUAAGGGCAUGAAUUCAAACCCUAUCAAGAGCAAAAUGCUUACAUUUCCUUGGUGGGUGAAGGCACUCCCAACGUAAACCCUUCUAAGCUCUAGACGAAAGCAAGAGACUAUUUGGGGCGAAAACUAAGCACAGAAACUUUGGAUCCAAUACCAAUCAUUGUUUGGGAUUCAACUUGCUACUUGAUAGACAAUAUUUCAAGGACUUCUUCUAAAAAUGUCGAACCCUUCAACUUGCGUAAUUGAAAUUUCAAAACUCAGAAAGUAGAAACAAAAUGUACAAAAAUUAAGUUUACAACUCAAGGACUAAUAACAAAAUUGAACCAUUUUAAAUUCUAGGUAUUUAGACAAAGAGAGGUCAUUUUGGUAUAAAUAUAAUCUUUCGUGGAAUCAUAGUGGCAACCAAUGAAAUCCCAGCACGAUGAAUGAUGGCAAAUGGACAAGAAGUAGUCGGUUUGGAUAGUGGUUUUGGACCAAGAGUACUAUAAUGUUGUUGAGCAUAGUGGGGAACAUGGAACGUGACCGCCGAACAACCUUGGCGGCUUACGUCUAUGAACUUUAAUGUUUGUUUUGUAUUCUUCUCACCUUUGAAAGCAAUCGCCCAUGGCUACGGGUAUCGCAAUACUAUUAAAUAUUUGCACUGAGCAGGAUUGGAUUGGAUACGAUCGAAUUUUUAUAAAUUUUUUUAAUUCGAAUUAAUUUUUAAUUUUUAUAUUUUUAUACUAUAAGAUAGUGGUAUUUUUUUUUUGAAAAUUGAUUUUUUUUAUAUUAUAGUCCUCUUAAUAACGUAGUCUUUAGUAUUAGGAUGUAAUUUCUCUCAUUAAGACUAUAAAGUGUUAUGAUUUUCUUAAUAAAAAAUUGGAGUUCAUUGAAAAGAGGAAAAAUCGCCUAAUAACUACAAUCCACAGUGAAUAAUCAAAACACUCUCUCCUCAAGAAUACAGUUCGCUAAAUGAGUGACCUUCCUUUAAUAAACUAAAUAAAACCAGAGGACAUCAUAAACACAGCUUUCAAGAAAGUAAAUAAAGCUUUGAAAAAAUCUUGAGCGUCCCAACUUCAGUCAGAUGGAUUUACCCACCAGCGAUCUUUUCUUGCCGCAACCUCGGCAAAAUCAAGCAGCUCCUCCACCCAGUAUUUGUUCUUGUUAAAAUCGAAGCCUUUGGUGGUCGGUUGAAGUGCCAUAAGGUUCUUGUUCCUACUGGAAAAUCUGAACCAACAAGCACUAAAACGAGUCGCAACUUGCUUUCCAUCAACAAUAUAGGUGUUGAUAACUAAUCGGCCCGUUUAGGGUAUCUAUGAGUCUCUUAAUAAUUGUGUGUGCGUUUUCUUCACUCUUCCCCGAUUAGACCUAAUUUUUAGUAGUGUCGAAAAAUAUAGUUUCGAAAUCUCAUUUUUAUAAAUCGAGUCAAUAAAUAUUAAAUAUGAAUAUUUACAAAGUUAUUAUAUUAAUGAAUUAAAUUUCAGUUAAAUAAUUUAAUCGAAACUGUGAUAAAUUAUGGCCUAGUGACUAAACUGUAAAACUUUAAUCGUUAUACAUUUUUAAUUAGGAAAAAGCUUGGGGGCUUAGAUAACAAUUAUCCAAAGAAUUAAGAUAGUAAAUAAACCAAAUUAAAAAAUAUAAUAUUAAAAUUUGAUGUGGAUAUCAUUAACUUAAGUUAAUUAAGGAUUUAUGUUAAUUAAUUAAUAUUAAAACAUGUUAAUUAAAGUAUAAAUAAUAAACAAAAUGAAAAGAAAGAGAAAAUGUUAUCAUCUUCAACCGGUGGAAACUGAAGAAAAGAAAGAAUAUUAAUAUGGUGUGAAUUGAUAAAUAUUAACCUUGUGAAAAUUAUGUCAUGUUCAUUGUAUGUAAAUUAAUGAUAAUUAUGUCGUGGUAAUGUUAAUUUUUAUAGAUUCGCGGUGGAGUUUUUUUUUUUGAGAUUUACUUUUAACUUUGAAUGUGAAAGUGAAAACAAGAGAACGGAAGCUACUAAUAUCUUGGCAGUCCUUUAUUAGAUUUGAAAACAUGUGGUAAAGGGAGUAAUUUUUUAGUAAGUAUGAUCAGAUAUGUAAUUGUACAUAUCUCAUUCCCAAUCAAUUUUGAAAAAAGUUGUCCAUUCUGGCAUUUUUUUGUUUCUGAGGUUUUAACUCAACAAACUCUUACAAACCUCUAUUCACCAAACAUUACAAUAGAGUGUUUAACUACCUAAUCGUUUAUUUGUGCUCAAAUCAACUGAAAAUGACUAAAAACUCUAUUUACCAAUCACCUCUAUUAAGUGAUAAGUAGCUUCUAUAUAUUUUAGAUGCUUCAAUGAGACACUAAGUGUCAAAUUGAUAAGUCCCAGGCACAACCUUUACUUCGGUUUUACUGUCGAGCUCUAGGUGCAAUCUAUAAAUUUCGGAUUCUUUGAUGAGACAUAAAGUAUCAAAUUAGUAUGUUGGUUGAGACCUAUGUAUCUAUUUAAGUUCGAGUCAAAUAAAGAGGAGAUAUAAAUUAAGAAUUAUUCAAAUGAUGCUUUAAAUAAAUUAGUGUUACGAAAUUGUACUACAAAUACAGAUAUGUGAUAUAUGAUUAUUGAUAGCAUGUGGGGCCGGUAUGGAAAGAUAAUUACAAAGUUUGAAGUUUGAAGUUUAAAGAUUAAGUUGAAAAAAUAAUUAAGGGGGCGAGGAAAGUGUGUGGAAUUACAAUUUACAAUUACACCUCUUGUUAGUUAGGUAAAGUUGUAACCACGUGUGAGGCUGUCAGGUUCUCCCGACACCGUACGUGUCUCUGACGGCUUUAACAUUUUUCUUUGUUUCCUCAUGAUAUGGGGCAAUCCAAUAAUAGCAAAGCUGUCUUGCCUUUGAAAUUGAAAUUUCAUAAUUUCCUUUUUUUUUAAUAAAAAAUAUUUAUCUAUAGCUAAUAAUAAAGUAGGCCAAAUAAAUAGCCUGAAUAAAUUUGAUUAGACAUUAAAUAAUAUUUUCUGAGCCCAUGAAUGGCAAAAUCUGUACGACGGUCGAAAACGACGUAGCAUAAAUCCCCAAAGCAAGAAUAAAGAUGCGGGACAGCCUUCUAGAAAACUAAAUAAAAUAAAUAAAUAAUAAUAAAAACAGAAAAUCAGCAGCCAUGGAAAUGAAAAGAAAAUAUUUUUUUUUAAAGAGAGACAAGUGUCACCUCAUAGGAAACGAAUUAAGGCAAUAUAUGUAUAUAAUGGUAAGCCGGCAGCCGCCCCACAAUUCUUCAACCUAACCUAACAUCUCCUUUAUUACGAUUCUUUAUUUUUUUUAUUUUUUUUUUGCCUCUUUCCACUUUAUUGUAUUAUUAUUUUGACGGUCGAUUUUAGUACAUACUUGUCCUUUUUUUUUAAAAUAUAUAUAUAAUUUCUUUUUAAAAAUGAAUAUUUUAGGGUUUCAAGAUUCAAAUAUAAUAUUUAGAUGUUAACGUUCGGUGUUUUAAAAUUUAAGUUUUAAAGUUUAAGGUUUAGAGCUUCAAGAUUUAAAGUUUAGAGUUCGGAUUAAAAAAAUGAAUGUAACUUGAUUCAAGGUUUCAAAGUCUAGGGUUUUAAGAUUCAAGAUACAAUGUUUUAUUGUUUAGGAUUUCAAGGUUCAAAAUAUAAAAUUUAGAGUUUAAGAUUUAGUAGUUUAAAAUUCAAGCUUCAAAAUUUAGGAUUCAGAGUUUCAAGAUUUAAAAUCUAGAGUUCAGAUUAAAAAAUAAAUGUAGCUUAAUCCAUGGUUUUAGGAUUCAAGAUAUAAUAUUUAAGGCUUAAAGUUUAGAAUGUAGGGUUAGUUUAAGAUUUAAUAUUAAGGGUUUAUCAGUUCAAGAUCCAAAAUUUAAGUUUUGGGAUCAUUCAAAGUUUUAGUUAAAAGAAUAUGUGAAUGAUAUAAAAAAAUUAAAAUAUUAUUAAAUAAUUGAUAAAAAAAACAAAAAGAAAACGCGAGGUUUGUAUCUCAUACAGUAUAAUGAAAAUGAGAAAUUAUAUUAAUUACAAAACCAGCAACAAUAACGAGGGGGAAAGCGAAAUCUUUGACUUUCAGCAUAUGUAUUGGCGACCAAAGACCGGGGCCCAUAAACACAAUAAAAAGCGGCAGCCGCGCAUCCACACUUACCACUUCCAGCGCUUGCGUUCCACGUGGGACCCGGUCUUGUCCCCUUCCCCCUCCACCUUUUAUUUAUUUAUUAUUAUUUAGUUUUGACGGUAAAUGAUUAGAUUUUGGAAGUGGUAGAGACAUAAAAAACAGAUUCAAUAGAUCGGACGGCCGUAUAACACGUGUAGUUCACACGCGAAUCUCGAGAAGUUAAAAACAUGGGAAAAAGUUUUUAAUAAUUAUUGCCGGUCUCCUACUUAGAAACCCGCUCUUUCCGCUUACGCGCGCCGCUUGUUUUCCUCUUAUAAUAUCACUCCCAUCUUUUUACCCCCCCUUUUUUUACUGUUUAUUUUGUUACUGUAUAAGACAUAGUAAUUAUGCUAAUCUUAUUAAAUUUCGCAAUUGUUUUUAUUUUUCUAAAAUUUUAAAAUAUAGGGUAAAUAAUUAAAAUAGUCACGUUUAUUUACCUCAAGCUAUAUUUUAGUCACUUAUAUUUGAAAUGUUACGUUUUAGUCACUGAGCCAUUAAUUUCUGUUUAACGGUGUAACGAUAAGCUAACGUGCCAUGUUAAAUCAUCAUUUUAAACAAAAAUUUUGGGUUAAUUUGUACAAUCAGUCCCCAUUUUUUUUUUCGUUUUGGGUAAUUUAUUUUUUUCUUUAAUGUUAAUUUAACUUUUCUUUUUCUUUUCCCAUUUUCUUCUACUUCUUUCUUUUUUUUCCUCCAUUUUUUAUUUUUUAACAUAAAUUUUCUAUGUUUUCAAUUUGUAAAAAUUAGUUCUAUACUUUUAUUUUUUUGAACAAUUUAAUUUAAUUAACGGUUUAGUAACUAAAACGUGACAAUACGAUAACGUAAGCGACUAAAACGUAACAUUUUAAAUAUAAGUAACUAAAAUGUAACCUAAGACAAAUAAAAAUAACUAUUAUAAUUUACCCAAAAAUAUAUUAAUAAAAAUAAUUGUGGAGUAGUCACCCAUACCUAAGGUGUCCAUGGGCUGGGCCUGAACUCAUACCGAAAUUUUUUUGGGCCUAGCCCGAACCCGGCCCGGCCCAUGGACACCUCUACCCAUACCGACUGAAUCAUUAUCAUCUUUACCCAUUAAAAAAAUAUAUAUAUUGCUAGUUCCUAAGAAUUUUAGUGAAUCUUGUACUUUAAAAAUUAAAUUAAAUUAUUUACUGUUCAAUUAUUAUAGUUGUUAAUGGUUUUUAGAAAAGAUUAUGUGUUUAUUUUUUUGUUAAUAAUAUAUCGAAGACAGUUUAAUUAAAAUUUAAAACUAGAAAAAUAUUGACAGAAAAUACUUAUUAUUUUAAUGAUUCAAAUUUUGUUCUAAUUUAAUUUUUUACUAAAGUUCAAAUUAAGAUUGUUUUUUGAGCUUGGGCCAAAUUAAAAGUUUGUAAUAUUUUAUUACAAAAUUGAAUUAAUUUGGAUUUCAAGUUUUGCUAAAAAGGUUGAAAUUUUAGAGUUGCAAUAAUGUGUGAAAUCAAUUUCAAAUAAACCCUAAAUCAGAGGAUUUAGUUAAUCCAUUACUUUCAAUUGUGUUAAAGAAAAGAAAAUACCAAAAAAAAAAACAAUCCUAAUAAUUGAAAUUAUAGUAACUUGCAAAUUAAGAAAGUUGUUACCAUAUCACUUCAAAAAAAAAUAUAUAUAUAUAUAUAUAUAAUUUCAGGUUUUUUCUAUGGCGUUUAUUUUACUGCUUAAUUUUAUUAUCAUCGCUAGUAAAUGUAUGGUCUAUCUCGUGUAUAUAACUGGUAAUUAGUAUUUAGUAUUAUCCAUUUUUUAAAUAAUUAACAAAGGUUAAUUAAGAAAAUUGCUCUUCGUAAUUACUAAUUAAUUCAUUGAAAAUAAAAAAGAAUUACAGAAAUUAAUAUGAAACAACAGACUACAAACUAACGUUUCUCUGCUGCAAAAAAGGGAGGUUUUUCAUCUACGUAUUCACAAUUUACGCCGCUCUCGCGUAAUUUUUUUUUUGGGUAUAAUUUUCUUGUCUAAUUUUCAAAUUUGGGACUAAAAAGAAGAUUAACGAUUUUAAAGAUAGAAAAUUAAAAUUUUGUAGGUUUUUUUUUCCGGUUCUUGAUAUCGGCAAUUUUAAAAAAUAAUAAUCACGCGACUUCCGGAGCAGGUUGGUUGAGAUCGAUAUUGAGAAGCGGUCGCCGUUUGAUCUCGUGGUGGUUUAAAUCAACGACGGAGGACGAAUCUGAGUCGCUUUGUACACCAGCGUUGAAAGUUUCGUGAUAAUCACGGUGAUCGAAUCUCAACCGUUGUUGAUACUGCUGUCCUUUCAUAACACCGGGUCGGACCAACGCGUCGAAGUAAAAAACUUGGGGGGCUGCAACUGCCGGGACGCCGUUGGCGAAAAAACCGGUGGCCGACGAAAUUUGAGGGAAAGGAAGCCUGACGGCUGGAGAUCCGUACCCGAUGACUGCACCGUGUCCGAGAUUGAGAUCCAACGGUGAACAGUUGACGACUGUCGGCGGCUCGUGGCUUGAUGACUCCACGGUGCUACUCCGGCUAGGGCUGUGAUUGUUAUUGUUGUUGCUGCAGUUGGUAUCGCCAUUGUUGUGACAGUUACUACCAUUGUUGAGGAUUUCACCAGGGAGGGGGAAAUUAGUCUUCGCCUUGGCGCCGCGGAAUUCUCUGGCGGCGGCGUCGUAGGCCUUGGCCGCUUCCUCAGCUGUAUCAAAAGUUCCAAGCCAAACACGGCUUUUCUUCCCUGGAUCUCUGAUCUCAGCGGCGUAACGACCCCAUGGACGCUUCCUUACUCCUCUAAAAUGAACCUCUUUAGUACACCCAUUCCCGUUUCCCUUGACGUCCGCCGUUUUCUCCCUCGGCGCCAUUUAGGAAGCUCCGUUUUAAGAGUGAUGAAAUUUUGUUGAGAGAGGAAAAAAUGGUGGGGGAAUUGUCGUUUGGAUUUGUUGAAAUUGGUGCAAGGGCACGACGAUGUUUUUAUAGAGGGGAAAGGACGAAUCGGCGAGGAAUUGAAUGAAGAGGGGUGGCCACAGUCAACAACAGAUUUGACUGAGAGAAAAAGAUUGGUGCGUCAUGGCAGUUUCGUAAGUUUCAUAAAAAACCAGAUUACGUGGCUUGUGGGGUUGUCUUGAAGACAGCAUACUCUAUCAUCAUUAUCAUCAUCCAACGGCAGUUGUACUGUUCUUGUUUGUGUGCGGUGCUUUGGGCUACAUAUCACUCUCUCUUCCUUCACGUCAUUUUCACUCACCUUGAAAAUAAAACAGCAAACUCUAGCACUUACCCUUUGUACUAAAAGUUUGGUAUACAAUUACAGCCUAAAUUUUAAAUUGAGGAUUGAAUUUUAAAAAGUUUUAAUCAGGUUUUUGAAGUAUUACAAACUAAAGCGUAAUUUUAUCAUUAUACUAACAUAUAAUUUCAUAAAAUCCAAAUAGAUUAAAAGAUAUUUUACCAUUUUUGGGGCGUCUGACUACAUCUCUGGUUAAAUUCUCAUAUGAAUGUGUAGCAUAUCGAAAACAAAUGUAUCAAAUUGUAAAAAAGUAAUUACCUAUUGCAUAAACAAUAUGGAUCUGAUACAUUUAAAAAUUUUAUAUAAAGUUUAGUAUCAUGUUCAAGUUGCUUAUAUAGCUUGUACACGUGUUUACUGUCUUAUUUAUGAACUUCAAAUAUACACUAUAUCAAAAUUCAACCAUCAUUGAACACUUAAGUCAAAAGAAAAUACUUGAUUGAUGCCAUACAAAUAGAAUACAGAUUAAAUUAGGAUAUUUUAAAUUUCAUGGACCAAUUAGUAAAUUUGGGAAUAAUUUGAGGAUGAUUGAUUAAAUUUAACCUUCCUAAAAAAGUUUAGGCUGUAAUUAAAAAAAACGAGGCGCGUGAAGAAAAGAGGCGAAAGUGAGAAAAAAGGGAAGGUUGAACAAGUUGUCGGCAUAUUCUGCUAACUCGCCGUGUGACUUGGCUGUUUUUUCUAUUCUAAUUUCAAAAACUUCCUUUUUACUUAAAUUCCCCUAUUGAACCGCUCGCAUGGGGCCCAACUGGUGUUCGUCCCAUUUCCCAAUAACAUCUCGCCACGUUUCUUUUGUGCCCUUUAUGCGCGUUGAUAGGCACUCCAACGCAUGGCUGGCUAUCCACAUGAGUAGCUUCUGACAUCUAGUGUCAAUCUCACCCGACAACUCUCUUCCCUUACUCCCUUCAUUCCCCGCGUCAAUCGCACACUCUCGUUAUAAAAUUACCCCACUACCCUUCCAAUUCCCCCCCUCUUAUUUGGCCAUUAUAAAUUAAAUACUGUUGCUGCUAAUGGAUUUUUUUAAUUAACUGUUUAAGCAUCACGUUGCGUAUGUUUGAAUUAAUGUAUUGUAAAAUUGUGGUUAAAUUCUACUCUUAGUCUCUGUAUUUUGUGAAAGUUAUAGAUUUAGUCAUUAUACUUUUAUUUGAUGGAUUUUAGUUUCUCGAUUUUUUAAAAUUUUAGUCUAGACCUAAACAGUAGAAAUUAAAUCCAUUUAGUUAAAUUCAAUUACUAGUCUUUCACCAUGCGUACAAUUGUAGAUUUAGUACAUUUUCUCUAAUUAGAUCAAUCUAAGUCUCUAUACUUUUUAAAUUUUAAAAUUGUAGUCUUAACGUAAAUAACAGUCGAUAAGUCAUUAACUGAAAUUUUUUAGUAAUAUGUGGAAAUAAUAAACUGACAUAAUAUUACACAUAUGAUAAUAUGUUUUUAAUGUUUGAAAAACACAUAGAUUAAAAAUGACCAAAUAAAAAGUAUAGAGAUUAAAUCCAUGACUUUUUCUAAGUACAGGGACUAAUAGCAAAAGUUCACCUAAAGUUGUUACUUUGGGUUUUUAUCUACCUAAUCUUCACGUGUUUAGCUUUGAUGGUUUUUUUUUAUUAUUUAAGGAUAAUAUUGGAUCAAAUUUGCAUAAAUAAAUCAGAUAGAUUUAAGUAUCAAAUUUAGAUUAAAAAAAUUAAAAAUGGCAACGUGGCGGCUACCAAGUGUAUGGAUGGAAUAAUAUAUAUUAUAGAAUUUUGGCCUAAUGGCGGCUGUGGGAUAGGUACCUAUAGUUCACAUGAUAAAAUCCAUUUUAUCGAAUCGAAUUUAUAAUUAUUUUUUAUAAUAUAAAUAAAUCUUUUUACACUAUAGUAAUUAAAACAAUUUUAAAAUGUUAAAAUAUAUAUUUUAACAAACUCGAUUGGUAUGAGUAUUGUUGCUAAUGUAGGAGGAUGUGUGUUUGAGUGCGCUGAAGCACAAUAUCCUCUUAUUUAUGGGUUGAGAGGGGCUAUUGUUGGUUCUAAGCAUUAUGUCAAUAAGAACAGAUAUAAAAUAAUUUUCUUGUCAAACCUCAAAAAUAGGGUUUUUAUCAAUUGUUUUAAUUUCGAAAUAUUAAUGGCUUGUGGUAUGCGUGCAAGGGCAAAAUUAGAAUUUUUUUUAAGGCGGCCGAAAUUAAAUUAUAAUUUUUAUCAUAGCAAAAAUGAAAUAUUAUCAUCUUAAUAGCUUAUAUCUUUAUAAUUUUUAAAUGAUUAAAUCAAAUUUUUAUAUUUUUAAGGGGGUCAAAGUGUAAUUUUACCUUUACUAAUUUAAAAUUUUAAAAGACCUAAAUGAAAAAUUUCCAUUUUAACCUAGCUUAUAUCCUUUUCAAUACAUAGAACAUUUCAAAUAUGUAGGGAAAAAGAAAAAAAAAAAAGAAUAUCAAUGUUUUUUUUUAAUUUUCUUAAAGAAAAUCAAAUCUAAAAUUUGCAGACAUCGUCGAUUGAGUUUAACUUAAUUGCAUGAGUAUUGUCGCCAAUAUAGGAAGACGUGAGUUCUAGUGCGCUGAAGCGCAUUAUACUCCUAUUUAUGGGUUGAAGAAGGGUUAUACAUAGUUCUAAGUAUUGUGUAAAAAAAACAUGCAUCUGGGUUCACCAUAAUUCAAUUAUGCUUGUUGACCAUACAUCGAACCAUGUUUUUAGCAUUAUUCCCUCCUUCUUCCCCAUCAAAUGGACAAUGGAAUUCUCAUGUUUUUGCAGUUCUGUAAUAAGUCAACAAAAGAAUGUGAUUCCAUACCACGUGCUUUUGUUUAGUCACAAUAAGAUUGUUUUAUCUCUUCAUCAAACAACUCGCUAAGCUGAUCUCCAACAGUCCUACGACAAUAUUUGAUAGAAUCUCUAUUCAGAUAAAAUGGACACAUACAUGAAUAACCUUAUUGAGUCCGAGUAGUCACGUACACACCGUUGCAUCAAACUACAUAGAUCAUACCAUAACUCGUAACUCCAUCGAAUUAAAAGAACCCACAUAUAUAAAUCAAGGCCUUGACCGGAGAGACCAAGCAGCUUCACUACACCUGUUCCUGCUAAAAUUAAUGGUAGGUUUGGAUGGGCGGUGCGUUUACCUGCUGUUAAUGUAAAAACAGCAGUGACGGUGAGAUUAGAUACUGUAGCGUGAGACAAAAAGUAAGUUAAAUGUACAGCACCGCAUCCAAUCGUCUAUCCAAACCCACCUUAAGUGGCCUUUAUUACCAUUCCAUUAGUACUUAAUUUCUUAAAUAUUAUACGACUCUAAGCUUAACCGGGUGAACCGUUCCCAAACUUCAUAUCUAAAGCAUAUAUCAAUAAUGAUCAAUCAUUACACUGAAAUUACAAUCAAUAAUUACGAGCAUUGAAUUAAAUAACCUAAACCCAACUAGCUAAUUAAUCUAAAUAUGAAAGGUUUGUAGAGGGACUAUUGACAAGUCCAAAAGAAUGUGGCUAAAAGUCUAAAGAAAACCAGCUUCAACAGUUUGAUAGUCAAGCUUAGUUCCAAUGUUCAAAGCUGAUGGGCUAUGUUUUACUUGCACUUUCAGUUGGAAGGACCAAAAAGUUUCAGUUGGAACGAGGCCAGAUUUUUAAUUAAAUUCGGAGUUAAGUCGAGUUAAAUAUACAAAUAGAAAAAAAUUGAACCCAAUAUCUUACUCAAGAGAUAUUGACCUAUUUACUAUUUCACUUCAGCAUUUAGUGAUAUUUAACUUAAUAAAACCUACCCCAACCUCCACCCGAUAUACCCCAAACAUAACUCAACCUUGACCCUAACGAAUCAGGUUGAAUCAAAACCUAUUGAAUUUUAGGGUAUUUUUCAUCCCUAAUCAAGUUUAGUUGAGAAUUAUAGUAAAACCUUAUCAUCACAUCAUCAUAUCAUCAUGGUGAGAAUCUGACAAGAUCAUCAAUCAAAACUAAUUAUGCUUUAGACUUAUUGAACAUGGCGUGAAAGUGAAACCUAAGCCCAUUGAGUCAGAAAAGACUGAUUGCUGAAAAACGAUAAACCCUAAUAGCAUUGCUUAAGUGUGAUGGUGAUUACACACGUUGAUUCGAUGCACUAACUCCCACUGAUUUUAGUGGUGCCACUCUGUUUCAACUAUCAGGCUCCCCCCACUAACCAUUAGCCAGCCGCCAUUGCCCCUCUCUCUCUUUCUCCUGUUUCACUCUAUGUAAUGAAAAAAACACAGUUCCACCAAACAAUAUUAGAAUAAUGUUUCAGUUUUGACGUUACGCUAAAUCAUUUGCUUGCAAGUUCUGCAACAUUUUAUAUUUGGUCCUUUGGGUUGUGCUUCGAUCAUUAUCACAAUAUCACCUUCUACUGUAUCAUAAAACAUCCAACUAACACCCACAUCAAACACAUAAAAUUGUAUACAUGUUUCAGAUACCAAAUUUCAAUUGUAUUAAAGGUAAAACAAGCUCAUUAUAUCUUAAUAUCUUCAAUAAACAAAUGUCAGUUUUUUUAGGUAGAAAUGGGUAAUGGUUAAGCCAAAAAUUUUAUGUUGAGAUCAAAAUUAAGUUACAAAAAAUUUGAGGGUUUAAAAUUCAACUUUAUGAUUUUUAAGGUUAGGGUUUCUUCGUAAACUGAAAAUUAGGCUUCAUUUUCAACAUGAAGAAUAAUUAAGACAUCAAUGCUCCAAUACAGGUGUAAAAAUGGAUGGAUAUAUUACUGUUGCUGAUAUAAGAAUGUGGUGCAAAGGCUGAACACAGUUCAGUCAAUGAAGAUUGGUAAGAGAGAUCGGCUCUUUCAAGAGAAGUCUUUCAAGUAUUAUUUGUUAUGCAAUCGAUUGAGUCCCCAACAAUUGAAGGUAUUGUUAUGGUUUUGUUUCUUGUGCUCUACUGAGAGUCAAUAUGCCGUGACCAAUUGCUUUAAGAGGGUUCACAGAAGCGAGAGUACCUCAUACAUACGUGGGCGCAUGACCAUCUACCAAGGGAAGAACCCCUAACCUAUCUCAUAUAAAUUACGUUUUAGGAAAGUUGGUAGCACUAGCCCAAAUGGUACCACAGUUACAGGUUAAGUAAGCUUUAAGCCUAUGUAAGCUCUAUAUUUAUUCAUGUGACCUAUGCUAACACUUCCCCUUAAACUUUGCGGGUCUACUAAUUGAGGUGCUAUGAGUUGACCCCUUAUACCACAUGGUGCUCCUUGAUAGGUUCACCUAUCACUCAUUGAUUUCUAGUUAGAUCGACUAUGUGUGUGAAGUGACCAUGUCUUAUAGGAGUUGUUGAGUUGUUAGAGGUAAUGGAUUUAGGUACUACUAAACGGAACAAAUCUUGUGCCAAAAGAAGAGAUGACGGCGAAGGUGAUGGAUCCAGUGGAGUCAAAUGAAGUCUCCGGCGGAGUGUCUGUAACAAGUAUACAAUCAUCCAUUUCGCUCCAAAGUGGGAUCAAAGCUUUUCCCUUUUAGUUUUAAGGAUACAUAAAUUUCAUUAUAUUUGAUACCCUCAAAAUCUAAGAUUUAAUCAAAGAUGGGGUACAUAAAUGGAUAAAAUACAGUAUACAAAGAUGAUAUUGCUCUAUACUGAGGGCAAACAGCCUUUCCAUUUUUGCUCUAACAAUACAUAAUUAUCAUAUUACAUUUGAUAUUUGCCCAGAAUCUAAGUUGUAAUCAAAUAUAUACAAAAGCAUCAUGAUCCACAUCUCAAUUUGCAAAAAGAUAAAUGAAUCAUCUCCGUUUUCUCCCCUUUUUGGUAUUACCACCCAACAAAUCCCAAGAAACUGAAAAACCAAACAAAGAAUCACAUGUCCAAACAUUAGAAUUUAUAAACACAUGACAAAAUUAUUACAAAAUACUCAGUACCCAAUUUAUAGUUUUAGCAGGUGAUGCUUGUGAAGCCAAAAAAUUUCAUCCAAAAAACAGAAAGUUGGGAAUUUUCUUUUUUUACUCAAAGAUCAUUCCUUUUGUAAAAUAAAGCUUACCCAGAUUUAUUGCAAAUUGGGACAUGGUAUAAUUGCGAGAAAAUUAUAGAAAUUGUUGAAAAAAAUGAAACGAACCUGAGAGAUCGAACAGCGAGAUGUUGAGAAAGAACAUGGAAGAAGAAAUUGGCACCGUGGAGGAACACCACAACUCCCGUACACCCCAAUACAAAAAGCUCCAUCAUCAUUGAAAAAUAAUCAAAGCAAAGCAAGGAUCCCUUCUUUCUCAACAAAGAAUAAAAAAACAGAGCACGAGAAAUCCCGAAAUACAGUGAAGGAGAAGAGGCUGAAAUGCUUAUAAAUUGGACUUUGUUUCGAUGAUGAUUAUAUAAUUAAAAAUUACUAAUAAUAGGAGUGUUAUUAAAUUAUUAUUAAUAAUAAUUAAAAAAAAAGUGUUUUUUGGGUGUCAGAGUAUGAUCAUAUCCAAUUCCUAUAAUAAUGACUUUCUCCACUUUCUUACAACACGAAAAGGAGACGUGAUUGGGUGAUUGAAACUGUUUGGACGGCGGAUAUUUUUUACAAUGUUUUUACGAGCGUGUUUGGCCGUGUGAUUUUUCGUGGCGUACUUGACAAUGGUGUAGCUUAUGGGGGAAAAGGACAGAGAUAAAAGAAUGGGUGAAUUUUUUGAUAGGUCCCUCUAUUAUAGGGAUCUGAUCAAAUUAGUCCCUGUACUGUUAAAAAGACUAAUUGAAAUUGUUUGUUCUUUUAUCAUUUGUUAGUAAAAAUAGCUAACUGUUAACUACUCUUAUUAAAAUAGUAGAGGGAUUAAAUUGAUUCAUUUAAUAAUAAAGGGACUAAUUUGAUACUGUUCCUAUAACAUAGGGACCCCCCAAACAGUUUAACCAUAAAGAAAAGAGAGAGAGUGAGUGGAAUUGAUUGGGGAAAAUGGGGAGUACUAUAAUAUGGUCUGCCUAACUAUCGUUGUGGGUAAUCGUUCAUAGCCACAACCUAGCGACCGACCCGCCGCCACCAACCGCUGGGGUUGCACUCCUAGCUGGGUUUGGUUGCACUUUUUUUACUUGGGGCUGUUGGCAUUUGCAAGUGGCCCCCCCUGCUUUAAUAUAUAAUUGGUUGUUUAAAUUUUUUUUUAUCAUUGUUAACCGUUAAUUAUUCCUACGAGACAUCUCUUCUAAUUAAUAUUUUUUAUAAUCGGAUUGGUGAUUAAAUUGAUUAGAUCAUCGGUUCUAGAUCCGUUUAGUUGAUUUAGUUUAAUUGAAUAAAUAAUUAAAAAUCAUCAAAAAUAUUAAAAAUAAAAAACAUUAUUCAAUCGACCCGCAUCGAUUCACCUCAUUUUUCGAAUUGAUGCGCCAAUUGAUUUUCAAUCUGACCGACCAUUUCGGUCUAAUUCCAAAAACAUUGCUUCUAACUCAUUAUGGCGACAUAGAUUGUGUGUGAGUGCGUGUCGUAUGGGAUAUUUUUAAGAAAAAUCUAAAAUAUCAUUUCAACUAGAAGCAUAAGGUUAAAAUAUUUUGUUAGUCUCUAUAUUUUGAUAGAAUUUGAGAUUUAAUCCUUAUACUUUUUAUAGAAUAUGAAAUUUAGUCCUUGUACUUGAAAGGUUGAAAUUUAAUUCCUCUUUCUUUCUAAUCUAAAUAUCCCAAUCCAAUUAUUAAUAUUGUCAGAAUUUUCUAUAAAAAAAAAUUCUCAACUUGGCACAUUGAUUAAGUUGUUUUCAUGCAAAGCGAUAUAUGAUUGACAAAAGAUAAAUAUGUUAAGUUAAUAAAUUUUGACAUAAACUAUCAACGACAAUAAUAAUGUGACUGGGAUCUUUAAAUUGAAAAAGUAGAAGGAUUUAAUUUUUAACUUCAAAAUACAGAAGCUAAAUCUUAAAUUCUAUAGAAUUACAAGGACUAAAACCAUAUUUUAACCAAAACAUAUGACUAAAUUAUACCAAAUUACAAAGAUCAAAUUAUAUGAAAAUGAAGUAUAAUAAAGGACCAAACCCCUUUGAUCUAUAAAUUAUAUCGAAAAAGUAUUUUGUUUAAUAUGGUUUGUCUUUUUCUUUUUGCCAAGAGACCCCUUCCAAUAAGAACAUUAUCCCCUUAGUCUUGUGGGUUAAUAUGAUCUCUGUGAGUCUUAAUUCAUUCUUGUAAUUAAUUAAUAUACAAAAUGAAGUCGGUGGCUUAUUAUAAUAUACACCCCCCUCUUCUUGGGUUUUUUUUUCUUUUUUUAUCAAUGAUGAGAUGAGAUUCCAUUAUUUUAAAAAAUGGUGAGAUAAGAUGAGAUUUAAUUCAUUAUCAUCCUCAACAUUCUAAUAUAGAUUGCUGUAUGAGAUGGGUGGGAUAUAUAUAUAUAUUUAACAAUAAUCUCAUUGUAGAUUUUUAUUUUAUAUGUUAUUUUUUAUUAUAUAUUCUAAUAUAUAAUGCGCUUAAGUGCACUCGAACCUGCGUCUUCCUGCACUAGCAACAAUGCCAAUGUCAACCGAGCUAAGACUCAAUCGACCUAUUUUUUAAAAAAAAUUAACAUUAAUCUCAUUAUAAGUUCUUAUUAUAUUUGCUCCUUUUUAUAGAAUACAAUGCCUAGAACUACACAUAAUCCCUCCUCAAUAUUUAAAUAGAAAGAUAAUUCAGCGCACUUGAACCUAUGUUCUCUUGCAUUGACAAUAACACCAAUAUCAAUCAAACUAAAACUCAAUUGACAUGGGUGGAAUAUAUUUAAUUGCAGUAAGACCAUUAAAGUAAUACAUCAUUCCCUAAUUGAACCUCACGUUUUUUCUGUUCCACUUUGUAUAAGAAUGUGUAUUUUAGCCACACCAAUAUAACGUGACAACCCAACAAACUAAUCCAUGUUAGAUGUGAGAUUGCCAUUGCCAGUAGGUGGCACGUGAGGGUUUUGGUGUAGUAGUUGUUUGCCUAUAAGAAACUCGAUGUCUCUUAAAUAAGAUCUCGAGUUUAAAUUUGGUGGGUGAAAAAAUAAGUUCGAGGAUACUUGUUCCUUUUUAAAUAGAUCUAAUCUCUCUUACAAAUUUCUCUUAGUGUCAAAUCUCACAUUCAAGAAUUUAAUAUGAAUUUUAGUCCUUGAGCUAUUAUUAGAUUCAUUUUGGUAUUUAUACAUUUUGUUGAUCUACCUUAAUACUUAAACAUGACACAAUGUCAAAAUAUCACAUCUUCGAACCUUUUACUUUUGCCAAGCCCAAAAACCAAAAUGGGCCUAAUUACAAAGUUCAAGGACUAAAAAGUUAUAUUAACUCUUUACAUAUCGGAAUCCAUUGAUUAAACCCAAGGUUGUUUUUUUUUCAAUAAGCAUGAUUAAUGUUGCAUGGUUUUAUGAUAAAAAUAGACUAUUUCUUAUAAUUUUUAAAGUUAAAAAAUCUUAAUCUUAGUAAGCUUCAAAACAUGACUUGAGACAGAGCGAGAGAGAAAUGAGAUGACGUUGAGAAAACGACAGGUUAUUUCCUCACAUUUUUAGGUCAAAUUCAUUUAUCAGUCCCUAUACUAUGCAUAGAUUAUAAAUUUAAUGCAUGUAUUUUUCAAAUUAGUCAGUUUUAGUCCUUUUAUAUUUAAAAUCUUAAAAUUUCAAUCCUAAACCAAAUCGCCGUAGCAGUUAAAUCUGUUAUAACAAAUUUUACCAUGGGUCUUGUAAGUUCAAAAUGUAUUUUAUUAGUUCUACUCUAACAUGCAUCAUUAACUCACUCUGAAGCAUCCAGAUAUCAAUGCUACUUAAAACUAAAGACACCUGGUUUUGUUCUCUAAAGCAUACUAUCCAUGGGGAACUACUUUGAUCAUAUUAACCCACAAAUGAUAUUAAAGAGCUUUAAUUAUUCAAGGAAGAAGAGACAUUAAACCUGGUGAUGAUAUAUUUUUUGAACUUAUAAGAACAGGAAAAUUGAAUGUAUGUUUUUAUCUGAUACCUACUUCCAGAUGCUCACAGAACAAAUGUUGGGUAAUAACAUCAGAUAUUUCAGAUUCGUCCAAGAAGAAUACAAUGCAUCAAGUCCUACUAGGUUGAUCGGAAUUUUUCACGGAGAUGAAUAGCUCCGCAUCCCAACCACAAUCAUCCAUCUACAGUACAAAAAAAAGAGGAAAAAAAAGGUGUAUGGUAUUAGAAAUGUAUUUACCAGUUUAUCCACACAAAAGAAGAUAUUCAACAGUAUGGUUCUCAUUUUGGCUGCAUUUUAUGAAGGACUCAGGUCAAAUAUCUCUUAAUUGACACACGAAGAAAACAACUAGAAGAUAUCACUCUAGGAUGGUUAAAGGUUCAAAAUCUAGGGCUUGGGAAAGGCCAAGUGUGGAAGCAUAUGCCCAAUUCAUCAAUUUCCAAGAACUAGAAUAUCCUGAGAUUAUAAAUGUCUCUUGAAAUCACAAGUUAGUCAAGAUGUGAAUGAAAUUCAAUAUCUCUGGUUUAUCUAACUGUAACAAACAUUGAUGAAAAUAACCAAAUAUCAUAUUCAUCAGCUGAUCCUUCCUUUGAAUCACAACACCUUCAAACGCACCUAUUUAUGGUUUUAAUUCCUUACAAAUUGUAGACUGAUAAGAAUGUCACUCAUCAACUUGUUAAAGUUAUGAACAGGGGAAAGCAUCUAAAGACCCUACUAAAAGCUUUAUUCCACCACCUUGUCUUAAGAGUGCAUUUAUCAAAACCUCUGCCCGAACUCUCCGAUAUUCAUCAUACAUCAUCAUUGCAAUCUGAGUGAAACAACAAAUCAUUAUUGGUCUUAUAUCCACCUUAUACUGGCAUGAAUAAGAACGUAAAUAAGGUUUAGUUCACGUUAAGUUAUAACACUUACUAACAGCUGAAUAACAGUCUCAGCUCAAAUAUGCAUAAGCAAAGCCUAUAUCAUCUGAAAGUAAGCAUCAGAUUUCAUGUAUUUUUCUUUGAAAAGUUAUAACUAAGUUGCAUCACUGAGAGUCUUUUAACCCUUUCCCAUCCAUACCAUAGGUAAACAAGUAAGCAAUUCUAAACAUUCAGAUAACCAAACAAAAUGACAAACUACAACACACAAUUCACUUUUCAGAAGCUUAACAGUAAAUUCAAAAUCAAUCAGUUAACUGAAUUAAAAAUAUAUUUAGCAAGAUUUCAUCUGAUGUUUCUAAAGCCAUGAAAUUGCAGGGCAUAGCAUUCAAUCUCUUGCCAUUUCACAAUUAUGAUCUCCUCAAGCACUGAAGAGAAAUUACAGUAGAAGUUCCAAAAAGUUUAACAAUGAAAAACUAAUGCAAGUCACUCCCUCUCUGUGCUUGCCCUUCAUCUAGUCUGGUUUUGCCCUACAAAAGGAGAAAAUAAUUUACAUUCUUCCAUUAGGCAGAGAGCAAUUACUACCUAUCCAAAAAGGGGAGAGAAAGAAAAGAUGAAAGAGGGAGUACAAUUUGCUACAUUUGGCUAUUGUUUUUGAGUGGUUGAUGCUAGUCUUAAAGUCGGCCGAUUUUGCUUAGCAGAUACACCCUACUUUCCCUCAUAAUUCUAGUUCUAAUGAAAUUUACAACAAUAUAUCUCUUUCCUUCUUGGUAUUUAAUUGCCAAUACUGAAGCUUAUCACUGGGAAACCACAAAGUUUAGGAAUAGCAAUCAUAAAAAAAAAAAAAGGUUUGAAUAUUGUCAUACGAGUGCACACACUUUUAACUCAAAGGAUCAAACAUGAUUUUCUUUAAUUUUGCUUCUAUGAGUAGGAUCAAAUACUUCUACUAGGAACUUUAACUUUGACUCGAUGAGGCAUUAUAUCUUAAUUCAAUUUCCAUUGAUUCAUUAAAAAUAAGCUAGAAACUUUGAAUCCUUUAAAAUAAUUCAACAGAUCAAAAUGAGAAGGAAAAAAGAAAGUGGAUAGGAAUACCUUCAGCGGUCCAAUUGGAUCUCCGGCGAGAAACAGAAAGCAUGGAAGUCAACAAAGCCGAAGCAGUGGCUGUGUGAUAAGGUAGCAGCGUUUCCACACAGCAGCUCAUCUCCACCGGUGACCUUUUCAAAUUCAUUUUAGAACUAUACUGCUAAUUUAUUUCAUAAACGAGUACAAGAGAAGAAUUAAUAAUAUCCAUUACCUGAAAAUGCGAGCAGGAAACGAGUUUUGCUUAGAGAUCCGAAAGGGCGAGCAAGCGGGUCGUGGCAUGGACUUGGUUGCACCGGCGAGUCUCGCGGCCGCGGUCGCUCGGGUGGCAGCGGAACGGAGGACGGACCUGGCGGCGGACAUUUUUGGUGGAAGAUUUUGGAGGGUUUUUGUGUUUUGGGGCUGAAGGGUUUUAGGCUUUCGAGGGGUUUUUGCAAAUCGGACUGUUUUUCUGUGUAUGUGAUCGUAUGGUAAAGCUGUUGGUUCUUGCAAAUCUAACUCGACACGUGGAUAGCUCUUUUUUUCUAAAAAAAAAAAAAAAGCCCAAAGGGCAAAACUAUAUACAACUAAGAAAUAUCAUUCAACGCAUCUACUGAUGGAUGAAAUCCAGAUAAUUCAAACCAAAUUCAAAAGUAACAUUUUUAUCCAUCAAUCAAUGUGCAAAAGCAAAGCUAACAACAUCAAAUGAACCACAAACACUCAAGUCCUCACUAACAACACAGACUCUAGGAUAAUUCUGCAGAAACCCUUCUCAAUGGCCUUCUGAACAGCACAAGCUAAAGCGACAGCCUCAGCUAAAGGAGUGCCAAAAGCUUCAGCAAUCGAAUAGGUGAAACCAGCUAGCACCAGUCCUUCAUGGUCAUGAACAAUGCCUCCGCAAGUAGCACAUCUUGUCUUCGCAUUCCAUGCUGCGUCAACAUUAACGGACGUCGAGGUAACAAUGGAGCAUAAAGAAGGUUAUGCACCAAGAACUCGUGAUGGAAGGAUCAAGUUCUUAACAUUACAUCUUGAGGGGAAGAAACUCGCCCCUGAUGCAUGACCUAAUUCCUUGCCUCCCAUAGUUGCCAGAGAAGCACAAGAAAACUAGUGAAGGCUUUUUUAUCCAAUAUCUUCCCCAUAGUCGUCUCGAGCCAUUCGAUCACAUUGUAGAAAUACAAACAAAGCAAAUCAUUAUAAAUACUACAUAAUGUUAAUGCCUCCCUCGAGUUCGCCUCUUGGGAAAACAUGUCAUAUCUCUCAAUCAUAGGAAGGAUGUCAUGGCCAAGCGUCCACCCAAAAAGUUGAACUUUUGAAAAGGUUUUUACCCUCUCAAGUUCCUUCUAUAAGAUUCAACGAGGUCCUCAAACUAUUGCACAAAUUCUAACAAAUGUCCCCAACUUUUGAAUAUCUGGUAUGUUUUUUAGGUGAUUCUAACAAAUGUCCUCAAACUAUUGCAUAGUUUCUAAUUGGUCCCUUAAUUUCAAAAUGAAAUGAUUAAAUCUUCAAAAGUAUUUGUAAUUGAAUUAAUAAUGUUCUUCCAUCAUUCUAACCUUCAAUAUAGGCAUUAAAUGUCUGUUUGUAUUUAAUGUGAAGCAUAUUUAAAACAUUUAAAGUAAAUUAUAAACAUAAAUAUACGUAUAGCAUGAACUAUUUGAAUCUAACAUGAUAAAAAAAAUGUAAUGCCAAUAACAUUUAUGAUAUAUAUAUUUUGAUAAUAGAUUAGAUUCAAGCAAAGUUGGUCAAUAAGUACAAAUAUAUUCAACAAAAGAACAAGGGAUUCUUCUUGUAAGGAUAGUUUGCACUUUGGUAGAAGGAAAAACAUUGGAUGAUAAUUUGUGAAAUGUUAUAGUUCAUGGAGAUUAAUCUAUUCAAAGUUUCGUGGUUUUCACUUUUAAUAAUGUCGUUUUUAAGAUUUAAAUUUGAGUUUUUCCUUUGAGAAUGCAAUGUCUCUUGUCAUUACACUCUGCCACUUAUUGGUUGAUGGUGGAUUAUGAAAUGAUCUAAGCUUACUUUCAUUUACUUUGUUAUCUCGAAAUCUUUGAUACAUCAAAAUAACAAUUUCUUCAAUGACAUCUAUUUAAAAGAUCUCAUUAUAGUGAAAUUCGGUAGGAUUCUUUUAAAUCAAUGGUUGAAAUGAAAAGUGAGAAAAAAAAUCAAUCCACCGUUUUGCAUUAGAAGCAUGAGUUUAUCUUUUAACCAAUUUAAUCAAUUUCAACACAAAAAGGAGAGAAACUGGUUUUCAAAGAAAAUCAAUGUAUUUGAUAACUGAUUUAACAAGUUUCCAAUCAUCAGCACAAUUUUACCCGUUUUUGACAUUACUUGAUCAAACGACUACAGUCUACUUAUUAUUGUCUUUUGACAACAACCAAUAAUUUUAAGAAAAUACCGUAAGAUUUCACUAUAAUAAAAUCUCACAUUAGACAUUACCCAAUUUAUUGAAUGAAAAUCCAAUUUUUUUUUUUAAAUGAAUCUCUAAGCCCAAUUCAGUUUGCUUUUUAGUUUCUGCCUCUCUGAUGUUAUGAGGUAGCUUGAAGGCCCCAAAAUGGAUGGGUAAUGAUCAACUGGACUCUGAAUGCUGAGCCAACAGCCCUUUGGGCAUUUCACUGUGUUUAUCCACUUUGUUUGGAUUUAUUCGCAAUAGUAUUGUCGUUUUGAAAUAAGAAAAGCAAAGCGAUUCCAAAAAGAGUCAAGGGCCUGGCCCCGGAUAAAAUGGUUUUAUUCCAAUUUUAGACCCUCUUAAAAAUUAUCAAUUCAAUUUAACUUUUUAUCAUGAAAUUCAUUUUUUCAUCUUGUUCCCUCUAAUAAAAAAUUCCCGGCGUUGCCCUUGAAGAAAAAGGCUGGCAGAACACCGCGAACUCAGCCGGUUAGGGUUUAGAGUAAAAUUGAGAUAAGAAAUAUAAAAAUUGAAUCAAAUUUUACCCCGCCCCGUCUACGCGUCAAAGUCCCUACAACUUGACCUAAAAAUGGAAGAUUGAGGAACAUGCAAUUACAGGUUAACAAAUAUCUAAAACUGAGGGACAUUAAAUAAUUACCAUGUGACUUUCUCCCCUUCCGAAAUGGAGCAAAUUGCAAACAAUAUAGCCAUCAUUAUAUGGCCAAUAUACCAUCAGGAAAUGCCCUUAUUUUAUGCCAACAUCAUAGGGCAAUGAAUCUCGUUUUCUCACCAGCCUGGCAACAAGUUGCUGUCCCUUACUUCCCAAUUCAUCAAAUUAUGAUUUUGAUCCUCAAUCUUCCUCAAAAUAUUUAAGGUUUACUUCCAAUAAGAUAUAAUUUGAUCUUUACUUUUAUAUGGUCAUUAAUUUAAUUCAAUCAUUUUUAACUUGUAUUUUGCUCCAUUUAUUUAAAAAAAACAGACAAAUUAGCCCAUGUAUAAUGUAUGUUAGAUCAAAUAAUAAACUGGUCAUUUCUGUUAAAAAUUGCAUUCAUGUCUAUUGUUAAAAACUGACGUGACUGACUAAAUAGCCAGACAAUUUCAUGUUGCGCGCCAUAUGUGCCUUAUAUUGAUAUACAAUGAUCGAUUUUUAACAAUAAAACUGGAGAUAAUUUUUUUAAUGGAAGAACUAGUUUGUUCUCUAAUCUAACGUAUAGAAAUUAAUUUACCCAUUUUUUGAGUAAUUGAGGUCAAAUACAAUUUGGCUUAUAAAAGAACCUCCAUAAUACUUUUAUCGACCAAAGCAUGUCAAAUUAAAGUAAAUAAAUUAAAUUUCAAAUUUAGAUAUAGUAAGAUGAUCAAGAUCAUAAUUUGGUUCUUCUCAAUUAGAUUUUUCUUUUUUUAUCAACUACAAUAUAAAUAAAAAUGUCUGGAUUCUAUCAUCUAAAUACGUUUCUCUAAACAAAUUUCUUCCAAUCAGAUGGACUUAUUAUUAUUUAAAAUGAAUUUCAUUAUAGGUUUUUAGUAUAUCUGUUCCUUUUGAUGCCAUGCUUAGAACUAUUUAUAGGCAAUCUCUAAUCCUUAAAUAAGAGAACAAUGCGCUUCAACGCACUCGAACCCACAUCUUCCAGCACUGCUAACAAUAUUAAACUAAAACUCAAUCUGCAAUAAAAUGGAAUUACUAAAUCAGAUAAAGUAGGUGAUGAAACCCUAGCUCAUGGUCAGCUAUUGUCCCCUUUUUAACUUCCAUUUCAAGCAAAGUAGACCAGCAGAUGGGAAAAUUAAUUUCAUUUCAUAACAUUAUGAAACCAUAUCAAACCCACCACCUUUCUUUCCAAGGCUAAUCUGACCUAGCCUCCUUGUAUUUAUUAUGACUUGUUGGUAUUAUGCCCUCAUGUAUUUUCUUUUUUAACCAGAAUUUUGUUAAUAUUUGCAUUAAAAUGUUGGGAAAAUAAAAAGAUCUGGGUACAGCUAGAAUCAAUGGUGAGAGGUAGAGGGAACUGAAAUAAUGUGUGGGUGGGUGUAAUCAUUUGUUUCUUUACAGUACAGCACCAGUAUUUUACAUCUCUCUUCAAAUUGGUCCAUUUCUUUUUAAAAUUAACCAUUCAAUUCCCAGCAUCAUGAGUGCUCCCACGAUCAUAUGCUCCUAUUUUCUCACAUUGGGUUCCAUAUUAAGACACUGUACUGCUAGUUAGGGCACCCUGGUCCCAAAAAUAAUUACUAGGCUUAGCCUCACACUUUUGAAGUUUAUCAAUAUAUUAUAUUAAGGUCAGAACCUAACCCUUUAUAAAAACUAUAGUAUUAAACAUUAAUUCCAUGGUGACCAUAUAUAAAAUAUAGACCUACACAACAUUAGUCUUUGUAUGGCUAUAUAAGUUCAUAUAUGUAAGUCAAAAAGAAAUUGGACCCAAAGCUUUAGAACACGAAUAAAGUCAUCAUUUAUCCGUCAUUCACGGAGAAGAUAAUCCAAUUCAAAUGGAUGAUUUUUCACUUUCCUUUCCUUUUUAUUAUUUAGAGUUUUUUAAUUAUAUGUUUCUUUCUAAAUUCUUUAAUUUUGAAUUGAUUGAGUAUUAGUUCGAUUGACAUUGACAUUGUUGUCAGUAUAGGAGUACGUGGGUUCGAGUGCAUUGAAGCACAUUAUUCUCUUAUUUAAAAGUUAAGGAGGGACUGUGGGUAGUUCAUAAUAUUGGAUUCAAAAGAUUAGAUAUAAUAAUACUAAUCAAUAGUGCAAGGGGUAAAUUGCUAAUCGUAAAAUUGCUUAUUUUUCUUAUAAUGAAAAGGGAUUAAAACCUAAUUUGCAUAAAACGAGCAAGUAGAGCAAACGAUCCAAAGGAAAUCUCAAUAAAUGGGAUUCUUAAUUGCAUUAUUUCAUUGCUUAAUUCUGGGCAAUUUGUGACUUGCCUAAGAAUGAUGAUAAAGGAUAAGAGCUUGAGAAAGGAAAGUCAUGAUAUUUACUUUUUCAUUGUCAUGGAUUUCAAAGUCCUACAAAAUGUACACUAUUAUACAAUUAGUCCUUUUAAGUAUCAAUUUCACAUCUUUUGACUGCUAAAUCACAUUUAUUUCAUUCGGUGGAAAUAAUAGGAAACCAAAUCAAAAAGUGCCUUACUGUCAAAGGCAUGCACAUGUAUUUAUAUUUAUUUUCAGCUAUUGAAUGGACCGCCGUAUAAAAAGCACCAUCAAUGUACAUCAACAGUCCCUAUUCAUAUCUCUUUACCACAUGCCAAAUGGGUGUGUAUUUAUACCAUUUAUGACCCAUGUUAUUGACAAUUGUUAUCACCAUCCAAAGAUAAGAUAUCAUCAACUAUGGUAGCUAGCUAGUAAUUUGUGUUGCUUGAUUUGAGAAUGGAUUGUAUCAAAUUGAGAUUUCAUUUUAUCUGUGUAUCCCUUUUUAAUAGGAGAAUGAUAAAAAAUUAUAUUUUUUUUCUAAAAAAUUCAAAUCUAAUUAAAAAUACUAAAAAUCAGGAAAAAAUAUUAAUUUGUUAUUCUCUUAUUGAAAAAUGAUAGAGAUGAGAGAGAAUUACAGUUUUAUACCAUCCUUGAAAUUGAAGAGAAUCAUUUAUAUAUAUAUAUGAAAUCGAAUAGACAAAGUACACAAUCUCAAAGAUCUUUACGAAGAUGUAUAUAUAUAUGAAAACUACUAGAUAGAAUUCAACUUUUUAAUAGGCUUUGUCAUGGGUUCAUAAAACAAGAAGAAAAGAUCAAAAACAUGAUUUAAGAUUUUGUCAAGAUUAUCAAUGAUGAGAAUCAUAUGAAACAUCAAUGUCAUCAUGAAAAAACUAAUUAAAACUUGGAUUUUUUUUGUUGUCAUUUUGUUCUUUAAUUAAGCUCUAGUAAUUUUUUUUGGACAAUCACUUUAUACUAUUUAUAAUUUUUCUUUAGGACACUUCAGCUCACUCGAACUCACGCCCUUUCGCAUAAACAACAAUAUUUGUACCAAUCGAGUUAGACUCAAUUAUUAUUUUUGUUUAUUUUAAUUUCACAAAAUUAAAAUAGGAAGAAGAUAUAUAUAAUAUUGGAACAUAUAAUUACAUUUUUAUUGCAUAACAUUGUUUAAGAAAAGUAAAAAGCAUAAGGCUCCCAUAUCAUAUCUUUUAGCAUUUCAAUAUCAAAAGCAAAGGAUGCUAUCAAACCCUGCAAAUAAAAUAAAAAAAGAUCACAAAGUAAAACACAAAACCCAAUAAAUAAAGCCUUUAAUUCUUUACUCUCAUUUUGCUAAUUAAUUAGCAUAUACGUAUGGUUUCAUGGCUCGAACUCUUCUUCGAACUCCUCUUGAUUCUGAUUGUACUUUCCCAUGUUAUUGUAACGGUUCUCGUUGAACUCGUUCCUCGAACCGACUCCCCUCGAGUUCUCGAACCGGUUCGGGUAGUAGUUGUUCUCAGAACCCACACGAUAGUAGUACUUCCCAUUCUCCAAGUACCUAGUAUCACUCAUACCUUGCUUCUCAACAUUGUUGUACUCAUUGUUACCAUUGUAAUAGUUGUUGUUGUUCUGGUUUUCCUUAGUACUCCAUCCUUUCUCAGUGAACAUGGCCUCAUUGUUACCAUUGUAAUAGUUGUUGCUAUUCUGGUUUUCCUUAGUACUCCACCCUUUCUCAGUGAACAAGGCCUCAUUGUUACCAUUGUAAUAGUUGCCAUUGUAGUUGUUGGUUUCCUUGGUGGUCCAUCCUUUCUCAUUGAACCUGGCUUCACUUUGCUGCUCAGUGUUCCCGUAGGCAUUUGUCUUGCUAUAAAAGUAAGAGUCUUUGUUGUUGGUUUUGGACGCUGGGAUGCUAUUGUAGGGUUCAUCAGGGUGGUAUUUAACAGGUGUGACAUAGGGUUCAUAGGUUUCUUUGGUACUGGUGGUGCUAGGAGGGAGCUGACCAGACUCGUGACCGUAAAGCCCAUAGCCAUUUUGGGUCUCGGGGACAAACCUUGGCUCUUGCUCCUUCUUCCCCAAAGUGGUUUGUUCUUCUUUGUUGGUCACCUCUUUCUCAUUUGUGUUAACACUUGGGAUUUUGCUAAAAAAAUCCCUACCAUGUAUUUCAACGGAGAAGAGGGCUAAAAGGAAGAAGUAAGAGAUGAAUUUUGGUGAAGAAGCCAUUGGCAAAAAAAAAAAAAAAAAAGGGAAAGCAAAGAUUUUGUAGGUAAUGUAAGAGACUACACACUAACGAGGAAUACGUGAUGAUGCAAAGUGCUUAUAUAGAAAGAGUGGAAGAGCAAUGAUUUUGUUUUCACUCUAAAUUGUUAAAAUUUUCUACUCAAUUAACGGAGGGGGUGAAGAUGGUUAUGAUUGUAGGGACUUGGAUGAGAGAGAAAUAUCAAAAGAGGCCCUUUUACUUUGUGGUUUGUUGUUAAUCAACCAUGUUUCAUUUAUUUCAUUCUCAAUAUCAUGAACCCAAUGUUUUUAAAAUCAGAAAGAAUCAAAAGUAAUUAAUAUAAUUUUAUUAAAAUCUCAACUCUUCCUAGAUUCAAGUCACAAAUAAAUUCUGUUUGCAAUGUGUAAAUUAAUUACAAAUAUACCCAAAAAUAUAUAUAAUUUUAUUGUAUAUUGACAUACAUUAUUAUGCAUAAAAAUAUAAAAUCCUUUUUAUGCAUAUAAAAAACAAUCAUGGCAUACAAAAGUUUAUGUUAAUUAUUAUAUUUUAAAAGUGGUUUUUGUAAAAUAAAUCUACUAGGAUUGUUUAUAAUUUCUAUUUCCCCACAGUGGGAAACAAGUGAAAUGUGUAAGCUUUAUUUGUUUUUUGGUCACAUAAGAUUCCCUCCUCACACUCCACUUAAUUCUUUACCAAACCUAUUAAUUAAGAUCACUAUUAUUUGUGUAUCAAACUAUUGAGUGUUUCGUAUCUUCUAAGCAAAACCCAAUUUCAUUUUAUUUUAAUAUUUUAAUAAAACUCAUCAAUUGUGUCUUAGCGUGUUGUCAAACUAGUGGAAGGACGUGGACGGAUUAUGAGUAAUUUUAAACAUCAUAUAUAAAAAAAACAUAUAUGAUCAGAACUUAUAAAUUUAUUAUUUCAUUUUUCUAUCUCUUAAAAAAAUAAUAAAAGGGCAAAAAAAAAAAUUAAAGUUUAAGAGAUUUGAAGGAAAAAUGUGUUGGGUGGCUGGUUGGAUUUAAUUCAAAUUAAGUUUUCGAUUGGUUGAACUUAAAUUUAAAUUAAAUAACUUAAAAAUAUUUAUUUAAAUUUAAUUAUAAAAAAAUAAUAUUGAUAUAAAAUUAUAGAUUUUUAAAUUUUUUCAACAUUAAAAUUGACUACUUAAGUCGGUCGGAUCGAACUCAAAAAAAGAAAGAAUCAAGUCAUUACUCGAUCAAAAUCGAUCCAUUAAUUUUGGGAUAUUAUUUUUAACCUAAACCCUCUUAUAUCUGGUAACUAUAUCAAAUCUUAAAAAGCUUAGAACACAUUAUAAUGGUGGGAUAGGGAGGGGGGGGGAAUAGAGGGCAUCGUGGGCUGUGGAAAUUUAGAGAUGAAAGGGAGCGGCGGAUGAUACUGCGAGGAUUAAGGGGGAAUUGGUGGGACAUUAAACUAUGUCGUUUAGCGGCUGUCUCCAUGUUCUAUUUUUCUACACCGUAGGUUGAUUUUUUUUUUAUAAAAAUUAAUAAUUGAAUUUAGGUAUAAUUAUAUGUGCCUUAUUAUUAUUUAUAGGUUUUGAUUAUAUCUGUUCUUUUUGACACAAUGUCUAGAAUAGGUAUAGCCCCUUCUCAACCAAUAAAUAGGAGGAUAAUAGGCUUCAACGUACUCGAACUCACGUCCUCUUACAUUGGUAACAAUAUCCAUACUAAUCAAAUUAAGAUUCAAUCGACUAUUGUUUUUCAAUUUUUAAAGAGUAGUUAAGAAUUGUAAUUAAUAAUAACUUUUAAUGAUUAAAAAAUAUAUUUUUAUUAAAUAAGAAAAAAUAUAAUAUAAUAUAAAGAAUUAAAACAAAAUUUCACUUUAUUAAUUAAACACGUCUAAUAAUGUAUUUACCCUAAUAAGUUGCUUCAAAUGCAAAUUACUUCCAUAGCUAGCAAGGAAAAAACAAACAAACAUUCUUUAAUUGUAAUUGAAUAUUGGAUACCAAAUCUUUUUAAAUAAUCUUUAGUCAAAUAUAUAAAAUUUUACGAAAAUUAAUAGGAUUUAAAAAAUAAUUGAUUGAGUCUUAGUUUGAUUGGUAUGUACAUUGUUAUCAAUCCAGGAAGAUGUAGACUUAAAUACGCUGAAGUGCAUUGAAGAAUAUAGAGAGAGGCCAUAAGUAAUUCUAGAUAUUGCAUAAAAAAAACAGAUAUAAUCUAAACUUAUUUCUUUUUAUAAUUAUUCUGACUCACGUUUGAGACUCAUGCAACGAAAAUUCAAGCACCAAUGUCUAAAGCAACAUAAAUAUAUAUGAAAAAAAAGAAUGUUGUCAUUUUGUUUUGAUAGCCAAAUAACAUGAAAGUGCGACUUAAAGUCUAAUCUAAGGUUAAUCUUGAUUAACACAAAAUGAAUAUUUUUCACAUUAACAUUUUUUGAUUUAUGGGUUUUUGAUUAUUCUUAGCUGAAAAUAUUGCAUUCCCAUGUAAAAAGUUUUGGACAUAUAAAAAAAGUAUAAAGACUUAAAAUAUAAAUUAACCGACAUAUUAAACGCAAAAUAAUCUUUAAAAUUAUCUAUUUUUGAGAAGAGAUAUAACGUGGUCUUUAAUGUUUAAACUCACGAGUUAGGAAAAAAAUUGUAAAUUCUUACUCUUACUUUUGGUUUCUUGUUGCAUCCCAUUGAUUCAGUGAAGUUUUAGUUGCGUGAUCAGCGGCAGAGGUGCUUUCAGCCAAUGCAAAGCAUGUAUCCAUCAGAGCUGGCAAUCAAACUCCUCCCACCUAUUAACCUAAUUUUGAAAAUCAAUGUUUGCCAAAAAACAGACUAGUAAGACAUGUAUUUUAACAUAAAAGAAAAAGCAAAUUGAGUUUUAACUCGAUUGGUAUUGUUGUCAAUGCAAUAAGGCGUGGGUUUAAUUGCACUGAAGCGUAUUAUCCUCCUAUUUAUGGGUUAAGAGAGGCUAUGGGUAGUUCUAGGCAUUAUGUCAAAAAAAAAAAAAACAGAUAUAAUCAAAACUCAUAAUUAGAUUGUUCAGAAGAGAAGAAGAAAGGCACUAUCGCUAACUUCAAUUUACGUGAAUCAGAUUGAUUUUGGAUUUACUUAAAUUUGAUUUUAAAUCUUUUUGAAUUAUUUUAAGUUUGGAUUAGUUUAGGUAUGAAUUGUUUCGAGUUCAAGUUAUGUUUUUCCAGUUCUGGUCAUCUCAUUUUACUCCUUAAUAUCAUUUUAAAUUUGAUAUUUCGGUUUUAGAUGGAGCAAAUUCAAGUUUUUAACAUUUUAUAAUCAAAUUAUAUGAGAUCGAAUUUGAAUUCAAAUUAGUUGAAAAUACCCCAAAGUGUAGUAAAACACAAGCUACAUGAAACAGGAUGAAUAAAGUCAAAGCAAUUGGUCCCUAAAAAUGAGGUAAAAGUCUAAGGUAGCUGCCUGCAAAAUUCAACUAAACUGAAUUCACAAAAGUAGAGUUUCUGUUAAUGUGGUUGGGGUUUGGUAGGUUUACAUUUCAAGGAAAUUUGAUGGGUAAAGUAGUUGUACAUCAAAUAAAUUCAAAGUUAUUAGUUGGGUUCAGUAAUUCCCUACCAACAUUUAAAAUAAGAGUUGGUUUUGUAGUAAUAAAUAAGUGGGUGAUGGACAUAUCAAUUGAUUGGUUAUAUCAUUUUUAGUAGGAUCAAUUUCGGUUAGUUAGAUUAUUUUAAAUUCAAGUUGUUUCGGGCUUUCAUCAUUCAGAUUGAGAUUUGUUUUUUUAGUAUUAUUCAUGUUCGUUUUAGGGUCCAUGUUCGGGAUUUGUGGCUGUUCCUCUCAAUAAUAUUGUUUUCAAGCUUCAAAUUUAGGUUCUCCGUUUGAGAGUGCAAUGCACCUUACCAUUACAUCCAAUCACUUGUUGAUUGUUUUGUCAUUUUAAAUGGAUCGUUUUAAAUUAUUUAUUUAAAUUAUUUUAAGCUCAAAUUAUUUUAGAUAUAAUUCAUUUCGAUUUUAAAUUUUUUGAAUUAAUUUAAUUUUGAAUUAUUUUAAAUUUAAAUUAAUUUUAUUUUUAAAAUAAAUUAAUUCGAAUUCAAAUAGAUGCAUUGGACCUGCUCAUGGCAUUGAUAAGGUGUGGGCUAGGCGAAGGUCAAAAUGCUACAAUGAAAUCCAUGUGGUAAAUAAUGGUCCCAAUGAAAGCACAUCAAGAAUCACAAGGGACCAAAUAAUCAAGAGAAUUUAAGCACUUAUGAUUUUAGUAGUAUUAUGGAUGGUCUUAUAUUAAGAGUUAAAAAUGAAUAAAUUAAUCUUUAUACUUAAAUUAAAGAGUAAGUAGAUACUUCCAACAACUUUCGUCCAUUUUUAUUGUUGAAAACCAGCAUGAUUGAUAGAAUAAUCGAACAGUUACACUUGAUAUGUCAUGUGUAUCUCAUUUUAACAUAUAGGGACUAGUUUUUAAUAGUAGAAAUGAAUAAAAUUUUUAACAAAAUGAUCAAUUUACCCUUUAAUCUAAUGUAUAAGAAAUAAUUUACCUAUUUUUUAAUAGAACGAGCAAAAUACAUUUCGACUCUCAAUGACUAAUUCAAUUAAUAAACAUCCCUUUACCCCACCAUUUCCCUUGCCAUCAAUCCAAUUUUAUAUCUUUCAAAUUUCAAAUUUGAUUUUAUUUAAAAUUUUAAUAUUCAAACUCGAUAAAGAAAAUCUCCAACUCGUAUCUAAUCCGCCCUGCUCCACCCUGAUAUAAUAAACAAAUUCUUUUAUAAAAACUUAUAGAAGUUUUUAAAAAUCUAAUUAAAAAAUAAAAACAGUUAUAAAAUUAAAAAAAAUAUUUGGAUAAAUUAUUUGAGAAAAGACAUCUUAUUAUAGGUUCUGAUUAUAUCUAUUAUUUUUGGCACAAUACCUCGAACUAUUCAUAACCCUAACCCAUAAAAUCUGCUUUUACAAGGUAUGAUUUGAAUUUUUUGGGUGAUUGAUAGUUGGGGGCAGUUGGACCUCCUGGAAAUCUCUGAGACCCUUUUUUGAGUAAAAAGAGAGACUUCCCACUUGGACUAAAGAAGGGGGACUUCUGCCGAGUGUCUCAAAAUUUUUAAUUUUUACAAACUUAUAUCAAUACCAACAUUUCUACCAAAAAUCAUUAAAAAAAUUGGUAAAAGUUAGAUAUAUGUGUAUGCUUCGAGCACAUGGGAGAAUUUACCUGAAGAAGGGAGAAGGCAAGUUGUCCAAAAUAAAGGUUAAAAGAACAAAAAGGAUAACGGUAACAAUCAUGAGAAUAUGCAUGCUGAAAUGAUUUCAUCUUCUUUAUCCUACCUAAAUAUUUGUGCAUAAUUCCGUAUGAAUCAUUAUUACUUUGCAGUAAAGCUCUAAUUGUGGUGCUAAAAGCAUAAAAAGUAAAAUCAAAAUGUAGCAGCUAGCAAGCCUGAUGGUAACUAUUUCAAUUUCCGAGCGUGAAAAACUCAGGCUGCAAAUUUCAAAAGUACAUAUCAUAUUGUAUUAAUCUGGACACUGGAAUAAACUCGUGUUGCUGGUUACCGCUGAUGUGAUGAUUAUACGCCGAUUGACCCGGUGCUGUGGUGUGUGCGUGUCCCAACUCAUCUUUCACCUUUUAGCUGUGCGGAAUCAGAUUCUAUAUUCUAGAUGACAGAAGAGAAUAUAAACUGCAAUGGAAGAGAUUUCUUGACCUAGCUGAACUGUGAUGACAGCACCAUCCAAGCACCCAGUACAGGGAAGGUAAUCAAUGCGGAAGCCUGAAAUACAACCAAAAUGAAUUAUACCAGUAAUUCAAGUAAAAUUUCAGGAACAGAAGAAGGCAGUAGAUACACGAGAACAUACCAGAAAGAAUACCAAUUCAUCAUUGACAAAAGCUGCAGUAAAUUCAUUUCUUCGCAUUUCUUGUUUGAUGAAACCUUGCAACUGUCAACAAACGGGUAAGAAACAAGAUAUUUGUUUAUUUCAUAGGCAAAGGUUUCCAGUGAAGGGAUACAUAUGUAUCUUUGUUCUUAGGCACUAUUGAUGCACAUUAACUAGUAAACUGGAACUUGUUUAUAUUAUUUCCCCUUAAACCAUUAACAUUAUUGCAACAAGCACAAGGUAGACAAUGAUGAAAUACAAAUUCCUGGUAAAUCUAAAUCCUUAAUUCGUAUAUCAAAUCAAAUUCUGCACUUCGGAGGAAAAAUGAAUUGUUAUCACCUAAGGACCAAAAAGUAUUAGAAUGCAGAAUUCAUGUUUGCAAAUGUUGCACAGAGAUGAUUGACAGAGGAUUCAAGUUGGAAGUGCAAGAUAAUUCUUGACUCUGUCUAACAAAUUAAUCUCACUGUGUUGAAAAAUAAUGCCCGCAUAAAGCUGAAACCAUUCCAGGCGACAUUCGCAUGGGACUCUAAGAUAGAGCCAAAGAAGGUUCACAAUCUAAGUCAUCAAGACACUAAUCGUACUCUCUAUAAUUCAGGGGAAAAGAAUCUUUUUAGCUGAUAGAACUAUGAUUCUAUGAUUACUGACAAUCUUGUUUACAAAACUGAGCAACCUAGUUGGAAGAGGCCAAAGGUUUCCAGAUUCAUGGUGAUUAAGCAUAAAACUGAUUUAGUAGAAAGAGAUCAUGCCUAGGAGUUUACACAGAGCCAAAGGAAACGGUCAACUUAUCCAUUGAGCAUUUUCUAUUGUUGGAAACUUUCACAAAGUAUACUUUUAUGUAGUUUUGACAUUGAAGAUCUCCAAGAGUAACCUGAUUCGUUUUGAGGUACAUUAAUCCUAGAAAAUCACAUUGCAAUGCUAAACAUACCUGAUGGUGAUACUUUUUAAUUGCUGAGUAAAAUCUUCUCAAUUGUUGCAGAGCUUGAGACAUGUAGUACUUAAUGGUAGAUCCUUUUCCGAAUGAAUAAUAUUCCAAUGCACCGAGCAUCUUUGGAAGAUGUCUUUCAGAAAGGUCAUUAAAGAACUAUAUUUGCAGAAAAGAUUUGAUUUGAUUUGAUUUGAUUAAGACUUGAAUGAAAGAUAAGCAUUUGGCAAAAUAUCAUUACUUUUACAAAAAAUUCAAAUGGACUGAGACAGAUGUAAAAAUAAUAAUAAUAAAAGGUCUGAAAGACUAUGUCAGCUUAUUAUAUUACCUUCAAGAAUGAGCAUCUCAUGUACCUUUGCCUUUGAUCUUGCAAUGCUCUCCUCUGUAUGACAAAAAGCAAUUAUGCUAAUUAACAGAUUGAUUAUAAUGGCAGAAUGUUUACUUUUUUCUUUUAAACUUCCUUAUGAAUUGACGAAUAACUGAUAUUAAUAAGGUCCAUCGAAGGCAAUACUUGUGCAAGUUGAAGCGCCUGCUCAAGAUGUUGAAUUUGAAUCCAUUGUUCUGUAACAACUUCUGCCAUCUGAAAACAAGGGAAUGAAACUUUAAGAGAGAAAAGUACAACUAUUUCAACAUCAGCAAUAGAGAAAACAAAAUCAAAACGGAAUAAUUUUUAUCAAGUUUUCGACACAACACAAUCAAGGAAAGGCCAAAUUAACCAAGAUUGAGUUCUGAGAACAAUGGUCAUUUCGAUUAACAAAAAAAAAAAAAGAAUAUCCGGGUGAAAAAACUUCCUUUAUUCUUUUUCUUUUCAUGGUUUAACAUCUUAGCAGCAACCAGAAACUGAAGUCUGAAUGAACCCCCUUCCCCAAAAACGAUACAUAAAUCUAGAAAUUAGAACAACAAUAAGAUGGUCUUUAAAGCAUUUUUGCUGUUCUUGAUGAAAAUUCUUUUAAGUUGAUAAAGGUCAUAAUAAUACACAGAAAUGCUUAGUCAUUCAACAUUCACUAGCAGAGUCUCUACACAGAAAUGAAAUUAAUGCAUGCACAAUGCUGACCUUUUCAACUUUUAAAUUAACAGCUUCCACCCUAUCCUCAGUGUCCUGUGCUUCCGAUUCCAUAACAUGAAGUUCAAAGUUGUUCUUUCUCGAAGCAUCCCAAAGCAAACGUACCUAGGAGAACGAGGCCUACUACUCAAGUCAGAUGAAUAUUGCAAAUAAAGCAAGCAUUACAGGCAAGGAAUCCAAUAGUAGAAAAAAAUGGAAUUAGGGAUUAUAUUUAUAUUAAACCAUUUAAACGAACCUCCUCUUCUAGAGCCUUAAGCUUUUCAUCAGCAAGUAAUGAAUCAUCCUGCAAUUAACAUAAUAUAGAAAUUACAAUUCAUAGCCGAAUAAACCCUAAUUUAGUACACUGAACUCUUCAAACUACGCUUCUUUAGGGAAAGACAUUCAAUAACUGAAAAUAAUUGAAAACAUAAUAAUAAAAAAGCAAAGCUUCUUGGCUAAGAAUUGAACCUUAAGAGUGGAUAUAACAGACUGCAGAUAAGUGAUCUUGUUUUCCAUGCCUUCGAGAAGCUUCUCGCGUUCCUUGAGAAGAAGGGUUUUAGCAUCAAUGCUUUGAAUUGUUUCUUCGAGAACAGAUUCUACAAUCAUAUUUACAAAGCAUCAAAGAAUUGAAGAUUACGAUUAGUAAUUUGUUUCUAAUGAAGCGUUUAUCGUUAAAAAGAAUUUGAGAGGGAAAAUUACCCAAACGAGAGAGCUUUAGCUUGGCGUCAUCCAAUUCACGGAUCAAGAGGUUGUGGUCGUUGUUAUUUAGUUGAUCUUGCGAUGUGAGAGAGAUGAAGAAGACGAAGAAGAAGAAACCAGUGAAAAUGGCGGGAAAGAGAGGAGCCGCCAUUGCUGCUUCUUGAAGUUGCUAAUACGAUCUUUUCUUAAAGAAGCUUUUUGUUGCUAAGAGAAAGAUGGAGUAAUGGUGGACUUUGGAAGGACAGAUCUGCUUUCCCAUAACUAACCAUUGUUUUUAAAGAAAUUGUUUAUUUGAUAUUGUACUUUUCAAAGGAUAAAAUAUUUAUUUUAGACAUUAUUUACUAAAUUUUAUAAAACUAAAGAAAAAAAAAAGUUAUAAGAGUCAAAAUUCAACUUUCAAAGCUCAAGUUACUAUUAAUAUCACGGGACUAAAACUUCUGACAAGUCGAAUCGAUUUAGUCAUUUUUAACGAAAAUAAAUCGACGAUCAAGAUUAGAGCUUCUCUACCAUUGAAAGUUCUAUAGGAUUUAAUCUGUAUAUAAUUUUAUCACUUUAAGAUUUACGCUAUUUAACCUAGUAACUCUAAUUUUAUAGAAAUGUUUCACUGAGCCAUAAAGGCUUCAAGUAUACGAGUUCCUUCAUGGGUUCCACGAAUCGGGACAGUUCAUAUGGGUCAAAUGUGAGUUGACUUCUAUGCGGCAUUUUGUGCACAAUAAUCACAUGCUUUAGUCUGUGACCCGUGACACUAGUCUAGAGAAUAAAAUAAAAAAUUAGAUUUAGACUAAUUUACCUGUGUACCUAUUGAAUCUCAUGCCUAGGCUUUUGCUCUACUCGAAUCUAACGUUUUGUUGCUUGGCUUUUCCUUUCUUUAAAGUGAUCAAAUUGUUUACACAUUUUGUGCUUCUUUGGUGGAACUACGAGGAGAGAUUAUAAAAGUUCCCUUUCUUCAGAAAGCAUCGAUGCUCUUGCAAGGUACAGAGCAUAAGCAUUCUUCUGGAGUCCCUUUGAAGCUUGGAUGGGGUGCUCGUUGCGCAUUUGAGCUAUCUUCCAUUAAUGGGAUAAGUUUGUUUGGUGAGCUUUUAUGCUUAAGCUUGUGUUUUGUUAGGCUGAAUUUGAGCCCAGAUUAUUGGAUAUCAACAAUAGUUCUCAGGUUUCAAAAUACCUUCCGAAAGAUCAGCAGUAACUGCUGCAAUAGGACUUGGCUCCACGGUGUGCUUCCUCUAGACUUUGACUAUCACUUCAGGACUGCACCCUAGGUCCGCCAGCAAAAUAAGCACAUACUUUUAUUUCAGCUGUUGUUGUUGCUAAUGAUGCGUGUUACAAGGUUUUUUGUUAUCAAAUUAUUGAUUAAUUAAUAAAAAAUGUUGUUAAUAUCACAGCUUGGACAGUUCUAAAUCAAGAAUAUGUAGCCUUAGAAGCAAGUUCUCUGCAUGAUGAAAUCACAAAUACUAUUCACAUGAUGUCUUUUUUUUUGGGCACGUAUUCUGUUUCCGGGCCUAAACAGAAACCAAAAAUGAAAAAAUAAAAAAACAAUAACAACAAGACUCAUUAACAACAGCCCAAGAUCCAAUUACAAAAUUACUGGCCCAAUACACAAACCCUAAAGCCCACAAUAUUAAUUUUUUUCAGAAAACUAAAACAAAACCCCAGCCCCUUCAUGCCGCGCCCCAUGUCGGCAUGCCCACCCCCGAGGUUUGCUCCCCUAACGCACCUCUUGCACCAAAAUGGCAAGACUUGAGUCUCGUUAUCGCUGUUGACUUCGCCACCUGCAAAAAAAGAUAAAGAAAAAAGACAGAGACCAAACAGUGCAAGAACAAACGCAUAACAGUAAAAUAUAAUAUGUAAAUCGACUUUAAAAGCCCCAACAAUCAAUGUAAUUUUUUUACGGAGAAAGCAAUAAAAAAAAGCAAAGAAAAAUCAAAUACAAAAAAAGCAAAGAGUUAACAAAAGUAGUUUUUUUUUAAAUCUCGUCUAAUAAAAAAGUAGUUUUUUUUUAAAUCUCGUCUAAUAAAAAAUAUAAAAGAGUAAAAAGGCUCGAUUUUUACCUUCGGUGCUUUGUCUUCGACCGUUGUAGGAAUCCAUCGUCGUAGGGGCUAUCUCUUUUUUUCUUUUUUCUUUUUUUAAAAAAAAACCCCAAGAAACUGAAAGGUUUCAUCUUUUAUUUUUAUUUUUGAAUUUUGGAUCAUUUUUUGGGAAUUUUGACUCCGGAUCCAUGCUCUACAAAAAAAAAGGACUCGAAAGGGAGUCUUUGUAACAGCCCAAUUUUCAAUAGUGUCAGAAUAGUGAUUU